UGUUGCAGAAAAUUCAAGAAAGCACAUAAGAAAAAUAAAAAAAUAAUCAAAAAGAGAAAACCAGGACUGCUAAAUUUAAACUUGAAAGCUCAAAAGAAAAACAUCAAACGAUUUCUUAAUAGAAUCAUGCAAUGCAACCAAAUAGCUUGAAUUUAAAACAUGAAUAUCGAAAUAUUUGCCCAUUGGUCUUUGGCACACUGCUGCAAAGCCUAGAGCAGCCAAGCGUACCAACAAAAUUUAGCAUAUCUUACCAUCAAGCAGGUCCCAGCACGAACAUUACAGAUGGGAUAGUCAUGUGGGCAGCAGCUAUAGUGGUCAUCACAGCAGGUGGCAGCCUCAAGCGGGCAGCAUCCCCAUGCAAAGCAAGAGUUACCAUACUCAAAGACACAGCAGCAAGUGUUGCUCUCAGGGCAAGAGUAAUAAUUGUCACACACAGCAGGAGGCUUUGUUGGAGAUGGAGGGGACGGUCCAGGGUUGGGAGGAUUUUGGCCUUUCUUUAUGGGAUAUGAGGCCUCCAUGGCAAUUCCACACUUGCCCGUGAGAGUGCCAGCCACGUUACGCUCCAUCCUAAUAUAGCCAGCCUCUCCCCAGCUACUGCCCCAUGAAUUCUUCACAAUCCAGUAAUCAGCUCCAUUUUCUGUGCCAUAUCCAACAGCAGUAACACCAUGGUCCAGAGAUGUCCCACAUCUUCCCGUAAAUAUACCCUGAAAAUUUGCAAAGACAGAAAAAUAUACUUGAGACUUCCUUAAAACAGAUCAGACACACACAAGACUCUUCCUGAUCCUGUUUAGAAACCAUUAGAAAUACAAUAAUUUUUGUUCAAAUACCAUCCAGUAUUGUCUCAACCAUAUCUUUUCAGAACUGCAAAAUGCAAAUACUUUGUAUCUAGAUAAUAGCAACAUCCCUAAAUCUAAAAUGUGACAAGUGCCAUGAAGAGAUGAAAGUUACCGAUUCAUAUAACUGGAAUGCCAUGCCACCUCCUUCAAUGGCAACACUCACGGGUUGAUUUGCAACUGCCUUUUGCAAAGCUUUCUCGUCAUUUAGGGGAACAUCUUCAUAGUCAUCAAUUGUAACUACUUUGGCAUUUUUCUGACAAAGCCAAAAACCAAAGGCUUAGAAUGAUCCUCCAUUAUAUAGUAUGGCAUUUCUUCGUAAAACAAUAGAGUAAAAAUACCUACCCGAUAUGUGUCACAGCUACCAUCAAUGGCUUUGUAGGGGUAAUCUUCUUCUGUGUCAAUACCUCCAUUAUCAAUAAUGAACUCGAAUGCAUAGUCCAUCAAACCACCAUUACAUCCUUCAUUAUAUGAUGUAUCACAAUCCACCAACUCCUGCUCGGAUAGUGAGAUCAGGCUACCUGUAACAAUCUUGUUUAUACCCUCUACAGCUGCAAUGGUUGAAAAUGCCCAGCAACUCCCUUCAUUCAAGCGAGAUACAAUCAAAUAAUGGUUAGAAUCACACGACACAGAGAGCAACAGAUAAUUUGCUUUCUGAAUUUCUAACCAAGUUAAGUACUUAGACAACUCAAUAUUUGAAUAUGUUUUGUAUCUACAUCAGUUGAUUUAUUACCUACAAAAGUUAGGUAGGGGAAAAAAAAUCAUCACUUCAUAUAAUUCUGAGUUAUUAAGUUUGUUCAGAAUGAUGGAUUGAGGUUGAAUAAGACCGCAAAAGACUUGUAGGACAUAAAAUGUUUAAUAUCUCUCAUUGACAGGUUUUACCAUACUACAACUUUAAUGAUAAAUAAAAAAAAUAAUUAACUUGCUACUACAGGACAAUGACUAAUACAAGUUAUGGCGUAAUAAUUAUUAUCUAAGGACUAAUCCCUAAAAUCUCUUAGAACGGAACAAGAUAUCAAGCUCGAAGCUCAUAGGUGGUGAAAUGAAUUACCAAUAUCCUGUACAAAUAAACAAAAUAAACGCACUUAUUUUGUUCAGAGCUUUAAUAAUUCUGCAGAUGCAGCCAACUGACACACUGAUAAGCGGCCCAGCCCACUGACACGUAUUAAAAUUUUGUGGUGUUACCAACUAUCACCAAAAGUGAUAGGAAUACGAUUUUCACGUCUACUGAACACAAAAAAAAUAUUACUACAGCUUUUAAAAAGGUCCGCCAAUCUGUACCCAAUGGCAGCUAUGUUCAACCAACAAGCUCUGGCCACGUCAGGACAGCCAAACAAGAUUCCAUCCAGACAGUUCUUUUUAUUUUCAUUUGGAAAACAUUUUCUCGUGAGGGAAAACAGAAAAUAUCUCGAGCCUUCCGUCAGAAGAUAUCUUCUUGUUUUUCACACUUCCUAAUUUCUUGUCAGUUUUUCUCUUUAUUGUUUUUCGACAAAACAAUAAAAAAGGAAUACUCAAUUUGGACCAUUGAUUAUCACAGUGGCCCAAGCCUCCGAACUCUCGCCAAAAGUCCGAGAACGAAACAGCACUUUAAAAAAAUAAUCAUAAUAAUAGUGUCGGAGAAAAAAAGAAAUUCACGAAAACCAGAUUCUAAUUGAUGGAAAAGAUUAAAAAAUAACAGUAAUAGUCCUAACCGGUCAACUUAGCACAACUGCCCCCAACCGGAAGCAGUGCAAGAUUCUUCUAACUCUAAUCAUCCUUAAAAUACCAAACAUACCCUUUCCUUUCCUUUCCUUUCCUCUCCGCAAUCGAUUCAUUCAUAAUUUUAAGAUAAUAAUUAAAGUACUGCAGGUAACGAAUAAAAUCUAAAAAAGAAAAAGUAAAUGAAAACAAUAAAAAAACUGACCACAGCUUCCUUGAUCUUUAACUUCAGCGACAGCUCCUUUCUUCCUCCAAUCAACAGAGUCCGGCAACGCCUCGCCGACACGUGGCAGAUAACGGUUGCUCCUCUUUGAUUUCAAGGAAGUCCUUUUAGCACCAAAGCGUGCACCCAGAUGCAUGGACCGGUACUCCUCGUUGGUCAAAUCAGCAAACCGGUUCAACCCAACCUUGUAGGUCCGGUUCUCUGAGUUAUGUUCAUCAAUAAACCUAAGAUUUUCCUUAAAGAUCUCAAACCUCUUCUCUUUUUCACCCAAAGCGUUAUAAGCCUUGCCAUGCUUCACGAGCCAGGCCUCGAACAUAGCCAUAACCUCAUCGUCGGUCCUCCAGCUGCUAGAUUUUGACUCAUGGGUUUUAUCAUAAGAUACAAUCGACAUGUCCAAGGCAGAUGAAACAGUGAAGAGAAAAAGUAAAAACAUGGCCAUGGUUGGUGAUCUAAACAAACCCAUCUUUUGAGAAAAGAACUUUUUUUUUUUCUUUUUGGGAGAAGAAGAUGGAUUGAUGAGGCAGAGUGUGAGGGUGAGGCAGGUGGUGGGUUAUUAUAAAGGAAAUUGAAGAGGCUAUUAAGUAAAUAAAUUAAAUGAGGAGGUGACAAACGUGGAGUAAAUUUUCAGGAUAUUUUAGUCUAGAGAUAUAUUAUGGGGUAAAUGAGAGCUGACAAAUAAGAAUUGGACAACUAAGAAGCAUGGGGGCGAUAUGCGAUAGGCUGGAGUGAAAAGCAAAGCGACCACUCCACUCGCUUCUGUCCAUACAAAUUUGGAGCGCGGUGUCAGCAAGUAACGAAUUAUCGGGGUUUGGUUUCACGCGCUUCCUUUCUUUUCCUUUCUUUUCUCGUUAAGACCCCUGUACUUUGACUUAAUUAUACUCGUUUUUGUUGUUAGACAAAGUUUAUCAGAAAAUACAAAAUAUCUGAAUGUGUUAAUUGCUGUAUUAAAAAAUCAAUCAAAAUGUUUUUCUUUUUUUUUUAAUAACUUCACUGCACUCCUUAAAGGCCUAAUAUCUCUUUUAAAUACACCAGUUUCUUAUAACUGAAAAAAAAAGACGAGAAAUUAUUGCUCGAUUCCUUUUAAAUGUCCAAAAAAAUUUCUUUACAGCCGAAAAUUCUUUAAAAAUAUGAAAAAUUCUCACCUUCAAUAAAAGAAAAUUAUCUUAGUUGUGACUUUAUUAUAAUAUUUGGUCCAUUAUUUAUAAAAUGGAAAAGAAAAAUCUAAAAUAAAUAUAAAAAAACUUAUUUUUUCGUAUGAUAAAUCUAUAAAUGAUUUUGAAAUUGCUAAAUUUAUAUAGUUAAUUAUAUCACCAUCGCAGGUCUAGCCAAAAUAAGUAGGAAAAUUGUUUAAAAACCCUUAUUCUACUAAAUUUAUGGUAGCUUGACAUCAAACUUGUGAUUUUUAAAUUUAGAUUGAUGUUAUUAUUAUUUUGUUUGAAUACCACAUGUCUGCAUCCAUAUGCGUAUUACAAAAAGAAAAAAAAUAUAUUAAUAUUUAUAGUCAGAAAUUUAUUAAAAUAAUUUAAAUCAAUGUAUUUAUUUAAUUUUGUUAAUUGUUGGAAGAGUUGGCACGCCUGUCAUUUGUAGUCUGUGGGACACAAAAGAUGCCUUCGAUGAACGGGAGACUGAAACUGCUCUUUUGUCUUAUCCGGGACCCACUUAAACGUUUGGAGAUAUUUCUGUAAAUUUGCAUCAAUUAUUCAAUUAUUUCAUCUUCAAUAUUUCUCAUCAAUACCAAACAUGUGGACAGUGGAUGCUCUUUGAUGCGACUUUUUAAUUUAUAUUUUUGACUUUUGUAUUUAUUUAUUUUUUUAUAAUCCUCAGCCGUUUCCUGAUUUUCUAUUUUGUUUAAAAAUGAUAACUAAGCAAAUUCUCAUACCAAAAUAUUCCAUGGGUCCUACUAAUUACCAAAAAAAAAAAAAAAAAACCAAAUUUUCAUUCAGCGAUGAGUAUUGAAUAUGCGACCCCCUUUUAUGUAUCUUAUUUUUCCUGAUAAAUGUUUUAUUUUGUACCCCAAAAAUAAAUGCUGAGUCACCGACCUAUAAUAAUUCAAGUCACACUAACCAAUCACGAACCAACAAAAAAACAAGAAAGCAAAUCCCCUAAACUACUUAAAUGCUUUUCUCAAUCACGUGCAAUUUUGGGAAUUACGUAAAAGUACCCAUUAUAGACAUUAAUUACAUAAUUAGAGUGUCUCAAAUUUUUAUAAUACAAAUUCUAAAUUUUUUAUUCUAAAAAUGUAUCUUAAAUGAUGUGUUAUUAAUUGAGUGGUUGAUAAUUCUUUAUAAGAUUUAAGUGAAUUAAUUAUAUUAUUUCACCAACCACUCAAUUAAUGGCACAUCAUUUAAAAUAAUUUUUUUAAAUAAAAAAUUUAAAAUGUGUAGCAUUACUCUUUUUAUAAUAGGUUCCUCACUAGUAACUCGAAACAAGGGGCAAAACGAACGGUUCCUUUAUUGCUUCCGCAAUCCCCAUUGAACGCUGCGUGAGGUUGCUAAGGCCUGGGAAGGGAACACGAGCAGGUUGUUGAGAACAUUAAUGCUUCAUAGAGUCCUUUCCAGCUUGUUAUCAGCAGUCAAGUUAGAAACGCCUCUCUGCAUUAGUCAAGUUAGAAAUUGAAUUGGUAGAUGAACACCUAACAAUUGUUAAAAUUCUAUUGAGUAUUAAUCAAAUUAAUCUAUUUUUUUUCUAUAGUAGGUACACCACCGAAAUAAUUAGUUAAAGAGUAGCGUACUCCCAUGGCUGAUGGUGAUAUCAUGAAUUCAUGAUUACGAAACAAGCCAAUAUGAACGCAGAGAAUUUAUAAAUAAUUACUAUUUACUACCCAUAAACACGAUUAAAUGUAUCUACCAACUUACCAUAAAAAUAAACAUUUAAGGGGAAAAAAAUCCACGGGUAGAGUACCUCCCGAAUUUUCACAUGAUCCAUCUAUCAAUCGACUUUUCGCUUUCUCUUUCAAUCAGAGCCCCACAAUAAAUAAUUAAGGAACAACAAAGAUGACUUGCUUUUCAAGUAAAUGAUGGGGCCAUAGCAUAGCCCAUGGCCCACCGAAUGUGAAUGGAAUCUCUACGAAUCUUUAUUUAAUAUUAGUUAUUCAGGAAUGGACAAUUUACUGAUGCCAUCGAGGCUGGUAAAUGAUAGGAACGAUUAGAUGGUGAUAACGUCAUUUUCCUUCGAUUUAUACAAGUCAAUUUGUACGUGGCUUGAUUAUUUUCCUUACGUUUUUCUUUUCUUAUUUGCUUUGGAUACUGAACUAUGAUUUUUCAAAACGAACCACACAUUUCGUGUGAAGAUAUUUGCCAAAAUGACAGUUAUAUUUAAUUGGACUUGAUAAUGAUUCAAAUCCGAGUUUGGUAGAAGUUGUAUUAUGUUUAAUUUUAUAAAAUUGAUUUCCAUAUUAAGGAUGUGUUUGAAAUUGAGGUUAAAUAACUAUAAUUUAAAAGUUAUAUUAUUAAAAUAUUUAAUAAAUAUUAAUUGUUGUAAUUUAAAAGUUAUAUUGAUAUAAUUUUUCACUUAUAUAAUGAAAAAAUUAUUAUAUUUUUAAUAAUUUUAUUAAAAUUAUUAUAUAAAAUUUAUAUUUACUAUACAAAAAAAAAAAAAAAAAACUAUGCAAUCCAUAAGUUAUAAAUGGAUUUGUGUGGGAAUCAUAUCUGAAAUUCUAAAAAUCAUAUUCAAAUAUUAGUGAUUUUGAUUUUGUCAAAAUAAAAAUUCAUUAUAAGGCAGAAAAAUAGAAAGACUUAUUUAACUUUUUUUUUUCUUUUGAACAUAGUUACCGUUAAAAAAAAAAAAAUUCAUUAUUGUUCAUUCCACUCCACCUAAAAUGAAAUUAAAUGUUUUCCUCGAGAUUAAGCCUAGACUUCUUAUUUUUAUUGCAAUAGUCAAGCAAAUUUGACUAUCGCUUAAGAAUAAAAAGCCUAAUCUUAAUUAGGUUUAAUAUUAGAACUGAAUCUCUCAAGGAAGGGCAAUAGUAUUAGCAGAGUUAAGGUAUGUUAAAUAUUAAAACAAGUUAAACAAAUUUUUCUAUAUGUUUUUGAAAAAAGAAAUCAUAAUUAGCUGAGCGCGCGUCUUUACUAAUUCAAUAAAAAAAUCAUUUUCAUAAUUUAAACACUUUUGAGUUUAGACAUUAGUUGGAUAACUAUUAAUAAUUAAGUUAUUUUCAUUUAUUUGAUUUAUUUAUUGAGUUAAAAAAUCUCACAUAAUUAACAAAAAUCUAAUUUUAUAUUUAUAACAUUAACAAAAAUGGAAAUACCUGUUAUUAUUAUUCUAAGAAAAAAAAUCAAAAUUGCGGAGUAUUUAUUUAGAUAAGAUGCACACCUUUGAGGAGUAUUUAUUUUGACGUAUCUGGAUAUAUCCAUCAAUCUUUUUAGAUAAAAUACAAGAUAUGCAUUUGUAUGUUAAAAGACCGUAUACGUGGACGGUCUCUGAUCACUCUCCAGUAGUAACUAAUUACAAGAAGCAACAAAUUCUGCUUGCACAUGGAACGAUGGAACGGGACGUCUCCUCUUUUUAUUUUUUAAUGCACUUUUUGAUAGCGAAAUUGAACUUAUUAGAUUCAAAACUCAUGAGUAUGAACCUGGGACCCACUCACCCCGGCUUGUUCUCUUUAUUCACCUUGCUGGGCCCCACUCGGAUGUCUUAUAUCGCUUGCAGUACGGCCCUACUCGUAAUUGACAGUUUGAGACGCGAUCAGCCGUUGAUCAACGAUCAAAUUAUGAAUCAGACGACGAUGGCAAUUGAACACAGAAUUGCAGGUUCUUGGACAGAACUUACAGCAUGAAUGAGGGUGUGAUGGUAAUUUUCGCUUGUAGAGAAUUUGAUCUUUGAUCAUAAUUCUUUCUUCCUUUGUCAAUUUGCUCGAGAGGCGAACUUGUCCACGUCUGUUGAGCUGGCUUAUAAUGUUAAAUACUCACCCGUCUCUCUAUCCAAUACGAAAAUAUUUUUGAUCUCACAUAUCAUGAAUUCAACAAACAAAGCAAGACAGUCAAACCACGCAAUCACUUGGGAAAAAAAUAAAAAAAAAGAUAAACAGAAUCUUGCAUAUUGCCAAAGAAGGCAAAUGCUAUGUUACAAUUAAUGUAACAUAAAUACUUAAUAAUAAUCAUAUAAAUUAUGUGGGUCUAUUAUUUAUGUGGUUGUUGUUGAGUGUGUAUGUUACAUUAAUUGUAACAUAAGGACUCCCACCAAAGAAUAUUAGAAGGGUUAAUGAAGAGCAUAAGUCAUAAAUUUCAAUUAUAGCAGACACGGGCAUCAUAAGGUUAAAAUAUAAGAUUACAUGUGUUAUAAAUGAACAUUCUACCUCGAUAGCUGCAAAAUCUAAUAAUAUAACGCUCAAAAAAUAGAACGUCACCCCCCUAACAGAUUGUGGAAUCAAUUUGCCCAUGAGCUGCCUAAUUAUAAAAAAAUAAAAAAAACUAGUUGAUGAUGAUAAGCACACUAAAUUUUUUGUUCUAUUGGUAACAAAACAUCGCUGGCGAUAUUAAUUUCUCACAUGCCCACUUGGACAAAAAUUUCUUAGACCUACGUUUUCAUCUAUACUCAAGCCUCAUUGAAGUACAAUCAUAAAGUAUAAUACAAUUAACGAUGAACAAAAUGGUUCAACACAAUUUAGUUUUACACCAUGCAGCAACCAACCAUCCGAGCUACAUUAUAUUAUUAUAAGCAAACUAUGUUUAUUCGCCAUACAGAUUACAGACAACAUACUUCACACCUUUUUGCAAACAUCAUCACAUAAACAUAAAAGGAACUUUGAUAUGGAAAUACAAUCAAAUUCAAACUCUGCUUGAUUUGGAGUUGCUCUGUGAAUCAACACCGCAGACAAUAGGCACCGGCAUAAUAUCUUGCUUUUGCCCCCUCUUUGGAAGUUCACAGAUGUAAAUGCCGUCUUCACCCACAAGGUCCUGAAACAGAGAGCUCCCAUCAUGGAAAUCCAUUUCCACCAUCCAUCCUUCUGCAUAAGCCUUCCAGGCCAUUUCUACCAUUGCUCGUUCUGUAAGAUAAUCUUUUUGGCUAACUCAAGUCCAAAAUCCUUCGGGACAUCUGUUGGAACACGCUGCAGUGAUGUACAAAGACUAUUCAGAAGCAACUAUAUAAAUAAAUCAAACUCACUUAAAGAGUCUUUCUACAUUAUGAGCAAAGAUGAUUUACCAGGCUCUUCCGAACCCCUAACCCUGCUUUUGCCGCAAAAUAGGGGUUUCCACACUGGGAAGCUGUUCUCUCUUUCCUUUUAAAAUCAUUAGUUGAUUGAGAUAUUCCAUCCCUAGCUGCAGUCAUAACCCUCAGAAUCAAAUUAACACUAGGUUACAUUUAUCUCACAUAAAUCCACGCACGCAGCUGCAUGACAUUAACAAAUGCACAUAGAAUGGAACAACAUUUAAAUUACGAACAAUAAAGAAUAUUCUAACAGGUACCUUUUCCUGCGCUGAUCUUCUUCUUCUCCUUCAACAUAAUCUUCGUCACUGGCACUGUUAUUACUAGCAUCCUGAUAUUUUUCUUCUUCUUCUUCUUCUUCUUCCUCAUCAUUCUCAACCUUAAUCUCUUCUAUUAAUGUUCUCUUCUGGCAUCCUAUCUCCCAAAUAUUUUAACAUUGAAGUCAUAUUCACCAUUGUAUUGGAACAGUAAAAAGUCUCCAGUAUCUAUAGAAUUAUCUUUAGAAAACUUUCGUCAACCAUUUAGAAAAUACACUCUUUUAUCUCUAUAACCUACAUCCACAUGUCAAAGUUUCCCCAUUUCAUUACUGAGGAAGACCUUCUCAGGUAUCAAUCUCCAAGGAUGCUCUAAUAGCAUCGGGAAUUUUCAUAACAGAGUUUCAUUUUAAUCACAGAAAGAAACUACUUUUUUUUUUUUUUUUAGUUCUUAUUCUUAUGUAAUUUUACUCUUCAUCUUAUGUGAGUUUUAAAAUUCAUGGAGUUAUCUAAACAUAUUUUGAAAUGAAUAUAUGCCUGACAGAGCACUAUUUUCCACGGUUGACUAUAUGACGCCCAAUUUCUGCCGAUAGCUGGAGCAUAGUUCAUGUUGUCAUGAUCCUACUUAUUAUAACCUCACUAAAGAACUAUGAUCCAUCCCAUCAGCUUUUUGCAUGUAUAUAUCAAAAGACACAAUUAAAAGCACACAAAGAAUGUAUACAACAACCCAACCGAAGAAUACGGGGCACAUUGCAAAUGAAAUAAUAUUAAACAGAGGAAAAGGGCUGAUUUUAUUUAUUUAUUUUUAUUUUUUUCAAAUGAGUCACGUACUCUUCUGGAUGGGCCUAACGGAAACUUGAAAUUUUCCCUGAACAUAAUUUAUGGGGCAGUGGGUUUUUUUUUGUAACCUGUUGCUUUCGCUCGUUAAAAGGUCUUUUGUUUUUUUUUUGCCCUUUUUGGGAUUAUUAUUAUAAUUUUUGUCCUCUUUUUUUCUUUGGGCUUUAAAAUGGGAUGAUUUGAAUCCUGAAACAUGCUUGGUGUACAAAUGAAAGAGGCAGAUAAUCUUACUCCUUCUAGUGACUGUUGCCAAUUGCCAUUUUGAUGAGAAUGAAACUGUGUCUGUCUGUACUCUAUUUUUAGCUUGUAGUUCUAGCGCGCGCGCUGUGGGGCCACGUUAUCGACGUGGAUUCUUUUCGGAUAACAUAACUGGUUGAUUAUAUAUAUAUAUAUUUAAAAAAAAAGAAUAAAUUAUAACAAAAAUAUAUCCCUCAAAUUGUACGAGAAAGGUGUUAUUUGGGUGACAAUAGUACCGAAUUUGCAAAUUGGGCUGGAUAAAGUUUCUCUAAUGAUCCAACCCAAAUGAAAAAAAUUAAAGAAAAAAAGUCAAAAAGGAAAUAAAAUCUGUUUUCUUCCUCCGCCAGUUCCCCACCUCUUCCCCCGGAAAGACAUUGUGAAAGAAGCUGCCAGAGAAUAUUAUGUAGAAAUUUCUAAAAAGAAGUAGCUUGAUAGUCAACACAAAAAUUCAAAACUCAAUCAAAUCAAAAGACCAAGCUGAUUUUUUAUUUAUUAUAUUUAGAAAAUAAAGAGAAGUUAGGAGGAAAAAAAAAAAAACAGUAUAAGAGGGUACCAAUCCCAAUUCCCAAAUUUCCAUACAACUUCAUUGAUAAGAUUUACCUUUAGUGUUUGAAAAUUCGAAAUUGGAAUUAUUUCUGCUUGGAAUUUUUCUUUUUGACUUCAGGAAGUAGGCGUUGGACUCUCUUAUGCGCUGAUUAUGAUCUUUUAAUUAAUUUAGCAGACAAGGGAAAGAUUAGCAAACAUUUAUUAGCAAGCCAAAAAUUAAAUUGUAAAUAGUCAACAAAAGAAGAAAGCACGAUUCGAACAGAAUAAUAAAUUGUGUUAAUAGGCGGCCAAUACAUUUACUACUUGUGGAAGAAUAACGGUUGGACACGUGUUCUUUUCUCCUUAUCGAGUCCGAUCCGAGUUUUGGUGUUGCCCGGGACCGGACCGGAUGAGAGAAAUACAAGACCGGAUCCGGGUUAAAACCUGAUUUUUUCGGGUGCGGUCCAGGCUUGAGCCCGGCACCUUCCGGUUUCAGGUUUUGAUCUGAGCUUUCUAAACCUGCAUGUGAUAACUUCAAAUUUUUUUUUUCAUUUCUCUAAUAAUGUAAAUUUAAAAAAAAUAAUAAUCAAAUAAACUCAUUCAAUCUCAAACUUUAAAAAAGAAAAUAGUCAAAUACAAAUAUAUAACACACUAACAAUGCAAAUUUUGCACAAAUGAUAAAUUAAAAUUAUUUCAAUCUACUUUCUAAUACCUAAAUUCAUCCAAUUUCUAACUUAAACUCAUUCAAUCUAUAUAUAAAAUAAAUAAAUUAAAUUCAACAACACAAUAAUCACACAAUAAAUUUAAAUAACAUCCAACAUAUCAUAAAUUCAUAAUUAUAUAUUUAUAUAUAAUAUAUUUAUAUUUUCUUUCUUUUUUUUUAAAUUUAUUAAAAAACCGGGUCCGGUCUGGGUUCCGAAUUUUUGGUGUUGAACCCGGACCCGGGCUCGGAAAUGUCCGGAUUUGAGAAUUUCAAACCCGAGUCUGAUUUUUAUGUGCAUGCGGUCCGAAUUUUGUCCGGACCGGAUUGGCCGGGUCCGGUCCGGGCGGGCUUGUUUGACACCCCUACCCAUAUUCAAGUCAUUUCAUCUUGUGAUCUCAAAGUUUGUCACCCUUUUUGGAGGAAAAUAUAUAUUUUUUCUUCCUUUUGAUGCAAAAUUUCAGAGCAGCAACUUAUAUAAUUGCUGUCUAGGGUCUGAUCGAAUAAUUUGGAAGUAAAUUUUUUUAAUUGAUUUCUUAAGUUCGAAUAUUAGGAUAAUUGAAUCAUUUUUAAGUAAACUUUUUAAUUGAUCUCUUAAGUUCGAAUAUUGGGAUGAUAGGGGGUUAAAUGUAUCAAUUUGAGAUUUUUUUUUCAUCCCUAUAUUAAAAAAUUUAAAUAUAUUCAGCUAAUUGUUUUAUGUCCUUUUUUUCUUUUUCUGCUCCCUUUUUAAUUGGGUUUAUUGCGAUUUGAAAUUUCAUGAUUCAUCUACGCGUUAAUUCCUAUUCUUAUAACUUUUUGCGGUGAAUAAUUUAAUUGCAUAGAAUUGUGAUUUUAAAAUUUUACUCUGUUCUUAAUAGUUCAUUGUAUUUAAAAAAAGAAAGAAAGAAAGAAAACAGCAUUAUAAUUUUGACAGAAUCGGAGAUAAAAUAGAACGUUGAAAGUAGCUAGACGAUAUCAAGACAACUUCAAAUUUCAAAACGAAAAAAACAAAGACAAAGUGCGGCGAGUGAUGAUAUCUUCUUUGCCGUUUCAACUUUUUGUGCAUUAUUUUAUGGUAUAGGAUGUUAUAGGCUUUCGAGGUUUCACGUCGCCUAAUAAUGCCUCUCUCUGUUUUUUGUUCGUAUAGUCUUGAUCUGGGUCUGGGCACAUGCUUUUUCGCUUUGUUUUAAUUUUGAAGAGCUGAGCUCUAUGUUGCCGCCCUAACGUAUAAAUUAUUUUUUUUCACAGAUAAAUUAUAUACAUGUACACAUACAUGUUGACGGAUAAAUAAUAAAGCGAAAGAGGAAAUUUGAUUUGAUUAAUUAUCUCUGCGUGCAUGUCAAUAUUAGUUGUUGGCUUUUUAUUUUUUUACUAGAUAACAAUAUAAACUCUUUCUAAUUUCAACGUCCACUCGUGGCCAUCAUUUUCAACGUCUAAUUGGAAGCAUCCAGGAGCAAUGGGUCAAUGCAUGGUGUGGAGCAGCGGGAUUUCAAAUUCAAUCAGCUGUGUAAAAUGGAUCUGGAAAAUGAAAAUGAAUCCAAGGGUGGUGGUGGUGGUGGUGGGCCAUCAUAACAGGAAGUAGGUUAUUUGACGAAGGAAAGAAAAGAAAAGAGGGAAUCCCGGUACAGCAGCCCCCUCUUCACUGAAUGACUUUUGCAUUAAAAGCUGUUAAAGGUCAACUCUACUUUACUGUCCCCAACUAACCUCUCUCCGAUUUUACCGAGUCAUCGAUUUCCAACGGGUCAUCACAACCUUUUGACCUUAUCCCCCUCAUCAUUUUACACGGUCUCCAAGCGGCUUAUCCCGUUACCGGGACCCACAUCAAUGAGGCAGUCAACAUCCUGACAAAAUCUGCCACCUGGGAUGUUUUUAUUGGAGGUUGGGUUCGACAGGUCAGUCAUUUCUGAUGCCUUGCAUUGCAUUUGCGAGAGGGCAUCAGUUUGACUCGAAUCUAUAACAAAACAAAGCCAAGCGCACCACACCCCCCACUUUUAUCAUCAAAAUCUUUAAUAAGUCAUUGUAUUGUUUCUUUGCUUUUUCCUUUUUCUUUGCUUUCUUUCAUCGUCAUUUUAACAAUUUUUCCUUGCCUUGGACAACAAGAUUUAAAUAGCCUUUGGGCUUUGGCUCUUAUUAGCGCUCGGUUUUAAAAGAAAUGGCCGUGGAGCUGAUGAUGGGUUACGGUUGCGGUGAUAGUUUUGCAGCAGCUGUGAAGAUGGAAGAGAACGCUGUACAAGAAGCUGCAUCCGAAGGUAUGCAGAGCAUUGGUGAGUUCAUAAAAUUAUUGUCUCGAAGUGGUCAAGUACCAUCUGAACAACAAACACAGUACCAAGAAUCUACAUCUUCCUCUCCAACAAAUCUCGAACCUGACAAGGAAAUCAAGGUCGCAGCUGAAGUGGCCGUGAACAAUUUCAAGAAAGUUAUUUCUCUACUUGGUAGACCAAGAACAGGGCAUGCAAGAUUCAGAAGAGCUCCUGUUGGUAGCCCUCCUCCUCCUCCUCCUCCUCCUCAAAAAGAAGAAAAAGUACAUCUUCAAGAACCAGCAGGGCCAUCAGUUCAAUCUACAAAUCAUCUUUCAAAGGAACAAGUUUCUGCCUUCAAGGUUUAUUGCCCUACCCCUGUUCAUCGUCUGCCUCCGUUGCCUCACCAUGUUCAGAAGAGUAAUCCUAAUUCUACGGUGGUGACUAAGUCCGAUCAUGUGCCAAGCAGUAUCAAUUUCUCAGCCUCUGCCACAAAUUCUUUCAUAUCCUCGCUCACAGGCACAGCAGGGGAUACCGACAGCAUACAACCUUCUUUCUCAUCUGGGUUUCAAUUUACCACACCAUCAUCAGCUGGAAAGCCACCUCUGUCUUCUUCCUCGCUCAAGAGAAAGUGCAAUUCCAUGGAUGAUGCUGCUCUCAAGUGUGGCUCAUCUUCAGGGCGCUGCCAUUGCUCCAAGAAGAGGUUGGCUUCAUUUCUUUAACAAUCAAUUUCAUUUGCUCUAUUUUUCGUUUGAUUUAAUUCUGAUUAUGCUUAUGUUAAAUUGAAAACGUGUGCAGAAAAUCAAGGAUUAAGAGAGUGACUAGAGUUCCAGCGAUAAGCUCUAAGAUGGCUGAUAUUCCACCUGAUGAUUACUCCUGGAGAAAGUAUGGCCAGAAACCCAUCAAAGGUUCUCCUCAUCCAAGGUGUGCAAGUGUUAACUGACUCGCUCGGUUCAUUUCUCGAACAUAAUCGUUUCACUACAGCAUCCACUAACACCUCCUCCUAAUGACGCCAUUCGGCAUUAAUUGUGUUUGUCUAGUGGGGCUGAUUGAUUUGACUUUUUCACCUGCUGACAUUAUAAUUCGAGUUGACUCAGGGCCUGAGUGUCUGAAUUCUCAUUAGUUUCUUUGGUGUCUCCAUUUUCAGGGGAUAUUACAAGUGUAGUAGCGUGAGAGGCUGUCCAGCACGCAAACACGUGGAACGUGCACUUGACGAUCCAAUGAUGCUGAUUGUCACAUACGAAGGUGAUCACAACCACGCCUUCGCUGUUCAUGAUGCACCUGCUGCUAUGGUCCUCGAGUCAUCUUAGUCAAACCCAUCCAACGGCCAGAAACAACAUUUCCGAAAAGAUGGAAAUUGCGUGGGGGCAGAUCAGGCGAUCAGCACCGUGCUCGGAUGGUCAACGUAGAUACUGCUGGGCUCUGGCGGUCUUUGGUUUCUCUUUUUUCUUGUUGAAGACUUUUGUUUAAAGAGAUUUAAAAAGAAAUAGUAAAAAGUGUAGAAAAUGUGGAUUUUGUGGGAGUUUGAAUCAUGCAAGUAGUGUUUUUUUUCCUUUUUUUUAAAAAAAAAUUUCUUAUUGUUCUUAUACUCAAAUGGAAUUUAGGCUUUUUUAUGAAUUGUAUCUAUGUACGCGAUGGUGGUGGUGGUGGUGGGGAUCUUGUUAGGAUGCUUACUUUAUUUUAUUCCAAUUUCCACUCGAAUAAUAUGCAAUUUUAAAUGAGAAAAAUGGCGCUGCAGUCAAUGGCACCGAAAAAUGUUUAUUAUUUUAGUGGAGGAUGUGUCGUUUAUGCGACGGUUGACCCUUAGAUAUCUUUUUUAAAGGGUUAGGAUACGUUGUAAUCACAUAAUUUAGGUGAUGAUGUAUUUUUUAUUUUUUAUUAUUUUGCUUGUAAUUCAUUCUUUAUCCUUAGAGCAAGGUGGGAUUGCCCUAUUUUAAUUAUGAUAAAUUUUUUAUAAAAAAAUGGUUGAAGAGAAGGACAAGUCUUGGUGGUGGUUUUGUCAAGUUGCAAUUGGUGUAUUUUCCUCGGGUGCUUUGAGAAUAAAGCGAUAUGUUUCCUUUAAGACUUUCCGAUGAAGCAUUUGUGACAGUGACCCCACCAAAAAUAGAGUGCGAAGACACUGCAAAGUCAAAGUGGCUGGUUUGGUUGAUGAUAAUUCGGCCUCCCCCACUAAUUGCUUACUGCUCUCAUGCACUUUAGAAUUAAUUAUGCUUUAAUGAGGAUUAAUCACAUUUACUUGGUUACUGUAUAGCUGGAUUCAUUUCGAAGAAAUUGGUAGUUCCAAAGACUCGCUAGCAAAAUCUAAGAGAAAGAAUUGGAGAUCUAAGUUGUUUGUCUUUCCAUGCUUUAAUCUGCAUCUGCGUGCGCGCGUGUGUAUAUAUAUAUAUAUAUAUAUGCGGAUAUUUGUAUUUUUCUUAAUGUAAACAUACAUGUUAUUAAAUCGUGCGGUAUAAAAGAAUUAAUUUUUAAUAAAUUAUAAAAUUGUGUAGUUUUAAAAAGUUAAAAAUUAACUAUUUAAAACUUCACAGUUUUAAAAUGUGUUCGUAUAAAAAAAAAAUGAGGACACUCGCAUGAGAGAAGAGAUAUAUAUAUAUAAAAGAAAUAGAGUAGUGGAGAAAAUUUGAAGGGUUAAGUGUGAAGGACUGUAGGGCCUUUUGCAAUUUUUAAAAGCCACACUUGCUCGACAACAUGGCACGGCAUCUAUUGUAACUUGAACCUUUGGCCGUAUUUGAGAUGUCUAUUUUUUAAAAAAAAAUUUAAAAUGAAUUAUUGGCUGACCAAGGAACCUGGUGCAAUUUAAAACUGCCAAUACGUUUGUUUUGUUUCACACUGUUAGUAACUUUUUGAAUUAUUAUGUGUACAGUUCAUUGUUAUAUGGAAUCUGUCUUAAUGUAAACACUUAUUUGUUAAGAGUAUUGAUUAUCUUAGAGCUAUUUUAAAAUAGAAUACAAAUUAUAAUUUCAUACGUAAAGUGGUAAAUAAUAAAAAAUAUAUUAUAAUUUUAAUUGUGUGAUUAUAAAAAUAUGUUCUACCUUAGAGCGAUUCCAACAUAACCAAACACUUGUUAAAUAAUGGUUUGAAAAUCUAUUCAUUUAAAAUCUAUCCUUAUACGAGAAAAGUUACUCUCUUCGACACUUGAACUCGUGCCCUCAAAAUAGGGCUUUAUUGCAUAAAACGAUUCACAUGAUUUGAUGUUUAUAUCACGGUCGAGAACAUGCAUGCGGUUGAGUUUUCCAUUGAGAUUCAAAUGUUCCAUUUUAUUAAUUGGUCAAAAGACCGUUGGUCAGUGCUCCUAAAAUCAAUUCUUCCAGUAUGGAGCACCUUCAUUGAUGAUUAAGUUCAUUUGUAUAGGCUUAUUUUCUUAGUCUAAAUUAUUUAUUAUUGUUAAUUAUGAAUCUUAAAUAAAUAUAAUAUUAUUAAAUAAUAUAACAGUAUUAUUUAAAUAAAAAAUAAAUAUGAUAUUUUUUUUUUAAAUCGGACAUAUUAUAUUUCAAUCAAUAGAAUUAUAUUAUAUUUAAUAACGGAAGGAUAAAAAAGGAAGAGGUGAAAGUGGAUUUCCACUCUUACCUCCCCCAAUCGGAGUGGGAAUCCCACUCUUCACUUAAAAAAUGAGUGGGAUUCAAACAGUGAAACACCAACUCAUCUACUUAAAUAAAUAAAUAAAUAUUGUUGUGGGAGGAAUCUAGACUUACUACUCCCACUUUAAUAAGUAAACAUAACAUUAUGUUAUCUCUUUCUUAGGAAAAAAAAAAUUGAAAAGAAAGCAUACUCUAAAUGAUACACAUGUUAUUGUAUAAUUGCCAAGAUUUCAUACUCAAUUACAGCGAUCAUAAGCAUGGGAUUAGCAAUCCAAACAAACAAAAGCACGAGGAGAUUGUUUUUAUAUCGAUAAUAAAGUCUCUUGAGUAACUUAUAAUUUCCUCUUAAGAAAAAAAAAACACUUAUAACUUGUUUUACAUUGCCUUUUAUGGUGCCAAUGAACAACUAACCGUACGCAUAAUUAUCUAAGGACAGAUUAGGUUCGAGCAUUUUUCUGGGUCAUAAGUAGAGUGUUAUAGACUAUUGAUACUUCUCCAAAAUCAUUUUUUAAGCCCUUGCAUAUUUAAAAACCUUUAUCAAAAUUAUACGGAGGACAUAAUGUAUCUAAUUAAACAUGUUUUGAAUACAUUAUAGAAGUGAUUGUUUUACAGGAAAUCUUUAAAUUAUUAUUUUUGCUAAAGAAGAGAAUAUCUUUAUGAUUAUGGGUUGUGAAUAAUAAGAAAGAAAAUUGAAAGAUUGUGAUUGAAUGGGAAAUUAUUUUAAUUAAAGUUUGCCACUGAAAGCGAAAGGGGUUUUUAAAGCGUUAUAAGAAAUAUAUUUUAUUUUAAAAUAUUUGAAUGGGUAAAUAAAGGGAAGUGUUUUCAAAGAUUUAAAUUGGGGUAUUAAUAGUCAAGAGGUAAACUGGGCUAGCAUGGUUUUGAGCCUAGGCCCACAAGUCCGUGUCGUAACUUGGUUUUUCAAGAACAACGAAACCUAAGGGCCGCUUUAAGUUUCAACACCAUGGGUCAAUCUCAUAUCAUUUGGCCCAGGUCCAGUCAAACGCAAAUUCCAGAAAUGGGCCUUCGGAAUGGGAAUUCUGUUAUGUGUUUUCAAUAAGUUUUGAGCUCACAUACUUAUUCUCAUUCCUUUUCUAAAUAAAUAACCAGUUCAAUUAUUGGGAUUCCGGAACGUGAUUUUUUAAUUUUCUAUUUUAAAUUAAGUAGAGCCAAUUACAAUAUGUGCUUUAAUAUUUUAUUUCUAUACUGAAGUAGAUUUGCCCUUUUUUUUAAUUAUUUUUAUAAUCUUUUGAUUAAUAAAAAUCUCAUUUAUUUUGUUCCCAUAUUUUCUUUACCCUCUUUAUCCUUAACCUUUGGAUUUAUCUUUUAACCUUUGAAUUAUAGCCAUAUCUAACCAUCACCAAGUCGGAUUUAUUCGAUGGGGUGAGUCACUGCCCCACAUCAAACUUAAAUUUACAGUCCGCUUCCGCUCCUACUUCGUCAAUUACCCAAUUUAUGUUCCCAUUAAAACAGUACAUUACUUGCAUCUCAAAUUAUACCCAACUGUGAACUCACAUGGCACCGUCCAUACCUGUGGGUCAAAAAGAAUUCCCCCAACAUAACUUGACAGGUGUGACACACAAGAAAAAUUAAAAGAAGAGCUAAAACAUAAAAGCAGCAGACUAGAGAGUGGGACUCACAGGCAGGAGGGGCCCUUACUUGCCUUGCCGGAACACCAAUCAUAAAGAGUAUGCUGGUAACCGUACACAUUAAAAGAUUUAGAUAUUAAGAGCUGAUACUUCUUUCAAUUGUUUUUUUUUCGCCCACUCCCUUUCCCUUCACGUGAUUCUAACCGAGUGUGCAGUCCCAGCCAGCUGCUUCUUAUCAGCUCUUACAAUGACAUUACAUGCUUUGUCACGUAACUGAAACCUUCCAUCACCGUCUCUCCCCUUUCUCUCAAGUCUCUGUCCUGUCAAGGGAAUGAAAUGGACCUGUAAUAGUUACUUUUUACGGCGAAAGGUCAAAUAAACUGAGAAGAGGAAGAAGAGUGCCCCUGUUUCCUGUUUCAGUUUUCAUCACACUAACCAAACACCAUGUCCAUUAGAAGAAAACCCCUUCUUCCACAGUUGUUAUUUUUCCUAUCAAAUACUUUUCUGUUGAUUACAUCUUGUUCUGCUUCUCGUUCUGCAUCUGCAGUGAACUCACUGCUGCCGUCUGAUGCACAAGUGCUACUGGCAUUCAAAGCAAAAGCCGAUUUGAGAAACCACCUCUUGUUUUCACAAAACAAAAGCUUGCAUUUUUGUCAAUGGCAAGGUGUCAUAUGUUACCAACAAAAAGUGGUGCGAGUAGUUCUCCAAGGCCUGGAUCUUGGCGGCAUUUUUGCUCCCAACUCAUUGACUAAACUUGACCAGCUCCGAGUCCUGAGUCUACAGAACAACUCACUCACUGGACCCGUUCCCGACCUCUCGGGCGUCGUUAAUCUCAAAUCUCUCUUUCUUGAUCACAACUUCUUUACAGGUUCUUUCCCUCCUUCACUCUUCUCUCUUCAUCGACUUAAGACCUUGGAUUUAUCUUAUAACAAUCUGUCGGGACCAUUGCCAAAAGAAUUAGCUUCACAAGGCCGGUUAUACUCUCUGCGUCUUGAUGUGAACCGGUUUAACGGUUCGAUUCCUCCAUUGAACCAAUCCUCUCUCAAAAUAUUCAACGUUUCUGGUAACAACUUCACUGGCGCUAUACCGGUGACAUCCACGCUGUCACGUUUUGGUAUCUCCUCUUUUCUUUUUAACCCUAGCUUAUGUGGCGAGAUUAUUCACAAAGAAUGCAACCCCAGGCCACCCUUUUUUGGGCCAUCAGCGACGGCUGCAGCGGCUCCACCGCCAGUGACUGUUCUUGGGCAACAGAGCGCACAGAUGCAUGGUGUUGAGUUGACUCAACCGAGCCCUAGGAGCCACAAAAAAACUGCAGUCAUCAUCGGUUUCUCAUCUGGAGUCCUUGUUUUGAUAUGUUCACUUGUUUUGUUUGCAAUGGCUGUGAAGAAACAGAAACAGAGGAAAGAUAAAAAAUCAAAGGCUAUGAUUGCAUCGGAUGAAGCGGCGGCAACGGCUCAAGCUUUAGCCAUGAUUCAAAUAGAGCAAGAGAAUGAGUUGCAGGAGAAGGUGAAGAGAGCACAAGGGAUCCAAGUGGCCAAGAGUGGAAACUUAGUAUUCUGUGCGGGCGAGGCACAGCUGUAUACGCUGGACCAGCUGAUGAGGGCUUCUGCUGAGUUGCUUGGGAAAGGGUCUCUGGGGACCACGUACAAGGCAGUGUUGGACAACCGUCUGAUUGUUUGCGUGAAGCGGCUUGAUGCAAGCAAAUUAGCAGGCACAAGCAAUGAAAUGUAUGAGCAGCAUAUGGAAUCAGUUGGUGGACUCAGGCAUCCAAAUCUUGUGCCGCUCAGAGCUUAUUUUCAGGCCAAGGAGGAGAGACUCCUUAUCUAUGAUUAUCAGCCCAAUGGCAGUCUCUUCUCGCUCAUACACGGUAAGUUCCUUUGCUCUUGAUUUUUUUUUUGUUUUUUUUCAUGUGUGGUGCAAUUACUCAGUGAGUGAGCCCAUUAGGUGAUUGGACUCGAUCUUGACUCGGUUUGACCGCGGUGACCCCUAGAAUAUGUAGCCACGUAGGAUUUUAAUUUGCAAUCGAAAUUAUUAUUAUUAUUCUAAUUUGGGGUUGUUUAUUAAAUAUAUUAUACAAGUGAAAGUGAUCCUUAAGAAAAGCAUAAUUACGUGCCUGAUCAGUUUGGCAUCGGUUAUAUCAUAGAUUUUCACGAGCAGCGAGAAUCUUGCUGCUGAUUGACAUUGGGAAUUGAAAUGAUUUAUUGCGUUCAAUUAUUUUAAUCAACAGUGGAAAGUACUCUACUCUUUUUACCUAACCAAAAUGCAGCGGCGCUGGGGAGACAAUUCAAAAAUCAAACCUGAAUUCAAGUGGAGAGUAACGUAGUAGUUUUGCAAUUAUUAGUGUAGUGGGUCCCACGUGGAUUGCCUGCGGACUCGGUCAAUUCGUAUUCUUUAUCCGAUGGUGAAUCGAAAAAUCCAACGCACCAUCUCUCUAGAUGAACUAAAUAAUAUUACGCGCAGGGAUGCGCGCAUGAACACACACACUUUUGUUGCUUUGUCCCAUUAUGGAGGCAGAAUCUCUGUUGAGUUAAUAAUAAUGAUAUGAUUACGUCCGAAAUGGCCAAUUGCAGGUUCAAAAUCAACAAGAGCAAAGCCACUACACUGGACUUCAUGCUUGAAAAUAGCGGAGGACGUGGCACAAGGCCUCUCUUAUAUUCACCAAGCAUGGAGACUCGUCCAUGGCAAUCUCAAGUCCUCUAAUGUGCUCCUUGGCCCUGAUUUCGAGGCAUGUCUCGCUGACUAUUGCCUCACUGCCCUCACGGCCGAUUCAUUGCAGGAUGAUGACCCUGAUAACUUGUUGUACAAAGCACCCGAGACUCGCAAUGCAAGUCACCAAGCAACCUCAAAAUCUGAUGUCUAUUCAUUUGGAGUAUUGUUGCUGGAGCUUUUAACUGGAAAGCCUCCAUCACAGCACUCAUUUUUGGUGCCUAAUGAAAUGAUGAAUUGGGUUAGAUCCGCCAGGGAAGAUGAUGGCGCCGAAGAUGAGAGAUUAGGUAUGCUUCUUGAGGUGGCGAUUGCUUGUAAUUCGGCCUCGCCAGAACAAAGGCCCACUAUGUGGCAAGUAUUGAAGAUGUUACAGGAGAUUAAAGGAGCUGUAUUAAUGGAGGAUGGUGAAUUGGACCCACUCUCUGGGAUCUCGUAGUUAUAUCGUUGUUGUAGUAACAUUUGUUCUUAGGCAAAUCAGCAAAUAUAUAGUGUCCGUAGCUAGAUGAAUGGAAUUUACCCAACUAUUUAGUUACUUUUUCUUUUAACAUUAACUACUUGGUUCUUUUUCCUUUUUUUUUUUUCCCAACUAUUUAGUUACUUUUUCUUUUAACAUUAACUACUUGGUUCUUUUUCCUUUUUUUUUUUUUUCUUAAAAUUAAUUCCUCGUCUCGGUUUACCACAUUGUUAUGGUGGGUUCGUAGUUUUGGAUAAUCUCUUCCUAACAAAAUUUUCAUCGAAGAAGAGUUUUCUAAUCACAAAUUUUCCUAAAAUAAAGGAAUUACUAACAAAUAAUAAACUACAAACCCUCCUAAAAUCAAUAUACAAAUCCGUUUAAAAAGAUGGGGUCUUGCACUCAAUUUAGCUUGAAUGGUGUUUACAGAUGCUCUAAGAUAGCCAAAUCUUAAAGGAUGAACCUAAAUUUCCUAAAAAAGUUUACUCCUUAUUGCACUUGUAUUAUUGAAUUGGAAGCCGUGAUAGAACCAUUUGUAAAUUAAUAUUAGUGAGGUCCAUCUAUGUUGUUGGAUAUGUUCUAAUUAACUUGGAGCAUCUCUAUCAUAAGAAAUCUCGUUUUUUUGCCAAAUUUUAAUAAUUUGCCGUUGAUUGCAUCAUCUUUUAAUUUUUACUUUUUAGCAUUUUUUUAAUAUACAAUACAAUUUUCAAAAAGUUACAUCAGCCAAUAGAAAUACAUAAUCAAAGCUCAACAUACAUAAGAACAAAGACAUACGAAGCCGAGCACCCAAAAAAAAAAAAAACUCAACUGUUUAGUAGAUUCGGACACUCAAGCCCUCCAUUUUAAAAUAAAAGGGAAGAAGUGCCAACUUGCAUGUUAAUAAUUUUAGUUUGACAAUAGAUAUAUAAUUGGAGUAAGAGUGGGAAUCGGGUUUAACAAGAAGAAAGAUAGGUCUUUGUAUCGAAUAUAUUAAAGGACUGUAAAAAUGAGAGCCCACAGAGUGUCUUGAAACCCAAAGUUAAAAAGAGGCCCGCCUCGUGAGAAAUUCGAACCCGAAUUCGGCAAUGAAUCCAAGUAACGUACAUGGACAUCAUCAUUGACAUACAAGUGGAAAAAGAGAGAGUGGUGCGCUGUUGCAGAAUUUGCUGGAAUCAUCAUCUAGCACAGAUAACACAAAAAUAAACAUAUAAAUAUCUCAGGGUAUUCCUGCAGGUAAUUUGAUGAUUGAGCUGGAGAAGGUUAUAAGAUGAGAGAUGACAUGGAUCUUCGUUCUGACACCGACAUAAUGGAAACUGACUCCGCCUCUGCCGCCGCCACAGCCACGGCCGCCGAAACGCAGCAGCAUCUGCGGCAAGUCCAAGACGUCGACCUAAGAGAGCUGCUCGCGUUGGCUCGCCAGCUCAUCAAUCAAGGCAGGCCUUCUCAGGCUCUCCAGGCGGUAAUAAAUCCUUUUUUUGUUUUAAAUUUUCUUUGUAAAAAAAAAAAAAAACUGUUACGAUUGUCAGUCAAUAUGACUUGACGUCCACAACAUUGAUUCCUGAUUUUCUUUUACAACAUCUUUCGCGUAUUAAGGAAUAGGGAUGUAUUCAUAUUCAAAAUAAUGAAUGUGGUAUGGCCACUUUAGCCAGUGGAUUUUAUUUUAUUAUUUAAUUAAUGGUCGAAACAGGUGGUGAUGGCGAUGAGAACCAGAGGUGGGGAGGAAGCUGUAUUUCGAUCACUGCACCGUGCGCGCGAAUUGUACAGAAAUAGAAUGCAAGAGAACACUGCCAUGGAUCAGCUGGCUGCUUUAUUUGCUGAAUGUGCCAUUGCUGAAGCCCAGCCCCUGGCUGUUGAACCAUCACCAUGCGAAAUAGCUAGUUCAUCAACUGUACCGGAUGCUGAUGGCUCUUCUAUACUUGCAGAAACUGGAAGAACGCAGAUUGUGCUGGAUGCAUUCUCAGAUGGAAGCAGCUUUGUAUGUUUACAGUGUGGGGGUCUUGUUAGUAAUCAUCGAAAAGAGGAGCACUAUGCAUAUUGGUGUUGCAAACUCUGAUUCGGAGGUAUAUGGCAUUAAUAUUUUUGCUCUUUCUUCACCUCGAUGCACCUACUAAGCUAUUGCCCUACUUGAAUUGCAAUUGACUGCAUUAUGUGAGUAUACACUAAUGUCAAUUAUCCUGGCUCUGGUCGCUGACUGGCAAUCCGGUGCCACUUCUAGGAUAUGUUUAGAGGUCAUGCUUCCGUCUGCAGAGGAGUCUAUAUUGAAACCAUGUUCCCCUUUAAGUGUAGUGUCGAAUCUCUACUCUUGCAGUGAUUAAAUUGCAUCAUCAUUGUAGAUAAAUGCAAGUAAAAAUUACCAUCAAGCGGUUUUUAAAGCUCUGAACUAUAAUAGUAUAUUACUAUAUCUAUACUUUGUAAUAUAAGAUUUUGAGGAUGGCGUGCUUUUAUUCCUGGAGGUCUUCCGUCUUUUACGGCCCCAAAACCCAACACCACCUGCUCGGCUGCAUUCACUGAUAUUCAGCUAUCUAGUACAUUAAUUACUUCAAGACUGCGCGUUCAGAGUUCGCUAAUUUGAUUAUAUCCCUCCCUUGUGUCUUAAUUACUAGAUAUUCAGCUAUCUAGUACAUUAAUUACUUCAAGACUGCGCAUUCAGAGUUCGCUAAUUUGAUUAUAUCACUCCCUUGUGUCUUUCUCUCUCUUCGUCAUGCAAUAGUGUUUUGGACAUGAGCAAUGAAAUCUAGCUCAUAUGCUGCUGAAAAAGAAACGAGGAAGUGCAAGAAUAAAUCAAGCAUGAGUCAUCAGUUAUGACGGGAUGGAAUAGUUGGUGCCCUGUGGCCGGUAAUUUGUCUGUGGACUUGUUGAUGCUUUUGAAACUUGAAUGCUUUUUCGUGGAUUGUUGGGUGCAUUAUUGAUUGGAUUCGAUCAUCUUGAGAGAAAAAAUAGACUUUUUCUCCCUGAUUUUAAUUGAUGGGAGUGGAAGAGUAGAAGGAAGAGAUUAGAUAACUCCAUUUUGUAGAGAAUUAAUGCAAUUGGAUGUUACUAUAAAUGUCUUCAUAUUCAGCGUAAUGUUUCCCUCCCCAUACCUUAGACCAUCUGCGGGUUGUUUUGAAAACUCGGACAAUGACAUAUGGAGAAUUCAUUAAUGGUGUGUUUAGUUGAGGGUUUAGGGAAUGGAAAUGAAAUUUAUGUUUACUUGUUAAAAUGUAAUUUGGGAACGAGAAUAAAAUGUGUGAGUCUCAUAUAAUUUGAGAAUAAAGAAUUCCAUUCCCAUGGAGGGUUGGGAAUAAGGAUUCUUAUUCCCUGAACUGAUUUUUGUAUUCGUUUAAUUUUUUCAUAUUUUUUGAAUUAUUCUCGUUCAAAUCACAAUUAAUUUUAUUAUUUUAAAUGUCGUUAUUAUUAUUAUUAUUAAAAAUUAUUAUUAAUUUUAUUAUUUUAGUUAUUAUUAAUUAUUUUUAUUAAUAUUAUCAUUAUUAACAUUUAUUAUUAUUAAUUUUAUUUUUAUAAUAAUAUUUAUACAUGUAUCUAGUUAAUGAAAAUUACAUUAUUUAAUACUAUAAGUAUUUUGGUAAAUUAAUUCUCAUUUAUAUUCUUUAUUUUUAUUUAUUUUGUCAAGUAAACACAUUAAUGACAUUCCAUUAUAUUUUUAUUCUCAUUUAUUUUUGUCAAGUAAAUAUUAAAAUCUCAUUCUCAUUUCUAUUUCCAUUCCUCAUUCCCUAUUUCUAUUCUCAGUCCAUUCUUAUUUCACCUCAUUCGCAGAAGUAAAGAAUAAUACAUCCUUUAUAUGGGUAGUGAUAUUAAUUUCAGUAGUCAGUUAUCCCAGAAGAUCUUGAUGCUAGGAAGAAUUCCCCAAAACCUAUCAGAGCUACAGUGGAAAAAGGUCUAAAUGACCAUUUCUGUAUAUUUGUACAUUCGUUCAAAGAAAACAGAAAAAGUAAAUGGAGGAGUGAAGACCAGUGCGUUCCAGCUGGAAAUGAUUUAAGCGUCGUAGGAGCAAGACUCCUUGAGGUACAACCUGUACAGUAUGUGAGUUGGUAAUUUGCGGUAGAAGAUGGAAUAGUCAAGGUUGACUCACGGUAUAAACUAAAAUACAGCUUAUUUAUUAAGGUGGUCGAAAAUUUAGUCAAUUCUUUUUCAUAAGUGUUAGUACCACUUGGCCCGUGCCCUUGGUCAGCUUGGUAUCAAAUAUACAACACUUGUUUGUUAUUACAAAUAUCUGGUAAAAUAUUGAUUUUGAGUUUUCACAAAGUACAUUUGUAAGAUAAGUGCAUUUGUAAGGACUAAUGUCUCAAGGGAUGACAAAAAUAUAAUAACAUCGUUAUGCUGGGAAGUGGAAAUGGAAUGAAAUGGCGAAUAUUGAGAAAAUAAUUUUCUUUCACUAUAAUGAGAUAGUAGUUGCUACCGACAAAAUCAAUAUUGCGCUUACACUCAAUAAAACCCAAAAUUAAUUAGACUGAAUACUAUUUCACCAAAAAAAAAAGGAAGAAAAAAUGGAUAUAUCAGACUAGACUGGACCUUCGUACAGAUGUCUGUGCGCUUGGGGUGUCUUUCAUCCCUCAAAAAAGUGUUGUUAUUGAUAGAAACUGCGAGUGUCACUUCUUCACCACCCGUGUAAUCUCAUGUAUCUAGCACCUUCUGGCAAAUUUGCGGUGAACCACCAACGACAAGAACACUACUAUACACAAUGUACUCCUAUUGCAUUAAUCACAGCCAAAAUUUCCAAUCUUCAUAAACCUGACUUUUCCAUCCGAGCUCCUUGAAGCUCUUCACUCUGUAUCCAUCAAGAGAAAGUGUAAGAUUCUGUUGUAUGUAAGCUAUGAGCAAUAUCAAGGCCAACCAGAUAUCAUGCCUGACGUCCCAACCAUAAUAUUUUUCAUGUAGUACUUGACAUCUGAAAUUAUAUUUUGUUUCUGACUAUCUUUUCAAAACAUUCUGCAACUAUCUUGACAUGAGUGAAGAAGUUUGCUCAUAGCCAUCGUAUCGACAUGUAAUAUUACCAGAACAAAUAGAAUUUAGCCCGAUACUUUUUAGUCAUAGGUGAAGAUAACAAUGUGAUAAAUACUAGCCCCAAUGAUGUAGACUACAUUAAGUAUAUGACUGGAAAUAGAUGUAAAGAAUACAUUACCUGCACUCCUUUUGUGGCUCGUCCGUGCACCAUGGGUUGUGAUCAUACUCGUGCAGAGAUUAGUAUAGGUAUAGCAAGAUUAAGCUUGUGACCAGGACCACAGAAUAUCACCCUGCAUGUGGCAGGGCCCGUGGACGAGGCUUUGCCCUCACAAUUGUUUCAUCACUGUGACGGAUCCAUUCUGAGAGUCUCCAUGGCUUUUGCCACUUCCAUUUAAAUUGCAAAAGCCAUUGGUGGUGACUUCUCUUCCAUCUCCAUAAUUUUCCACCCUGUCCUAGGGCUGCUAAUUUUUUCAUUGACAACUGCCCAAGGGGUACCCUCUGAGCUAACACAAAACCUGCUUAUGUCAGCCAAAGUAGGAAGGUGGAUAUCAAUCUAAUAAUAAAGGAUGGAAAAGGACUUUAACCUUUCUGUUUUGAUUUAUAAAUGCUGCUGACUCUCUUAUUGAGCCAUUGGCAAUGCCCGGUGUAUAUUUCAGUUGCUUCUGUGCCGGGACAGACAUUGGGGAGGGAGGACCACUCGUAUCAUCAGCAAAGUGUUCAAGUGAAUUGUGCAAGUUCCCCUGUCCAUGGCCAGGAAUGAAGAGUUAGAUGCACAAUAAUAAAAGUUUAGCAACACAAACUCUAGAAUGCUGAACACACUUCCAUCCAAUAUUAAGAAAACCAUUAAAAUGAACACAAUUUCUUGGCAAACCUAUAGACAGGCCUCAAAAGUCCUAGAAUUUUGUCAAAAAUCAUCUCAAUGUGUGCUUUCCGAUAGAGUAGUCUUCAUUUGUAGACUGAUAAAGUUCUAAAAGUUUUUAUAUGAUGCAUAAGAACAAAACUCAAGUGACGUCUAAUCUCACCGAAGCCGAUCUAGCCAGUGUGAUUGCAACAGCCUGUUCUCUCAAUUUUAGCUCCUCCUCCACUUCCUUUCUUCUUACCUCACUCUGUCGCAACAGACCAACAAGUUCUUUUAGUUGCUCUUUCAUUUCCUUGAUCUCUAUAUCUUUCUCCCACAGUUGACACCUGUUGCAAAUGCACAAGGGGCUAUUUAGAAUUGACCUCUAAUCACAGAAUUCAAAUAAGAGAAUGUACAUGUUCUGUGAAAUCUUUAUGGUUUAAGCAUAUAAAUCAAUGGCCCCCUGAUUAAAGGAAUUCUUUUAAUAAAUUCCAUUUAAUGUAUCCUUAACCAGAUCUACCGUUAGAGAUGCAUAUCACUCUCUGGAAUUCCAAUCAAUUUUGAGCACGGUUAAUCUAGUAGAUUUGUAUAAAUCAUGGAACUAAAGGUAUCAAUAUCCAAAAAAAGUCUGAAACUGAAAAAAGAUAAAAUAAAAUAAUUUGGGUUAUAUUUAUUUAAUAGAAAGCACCUUGCAUCUGCUAGAGAAUUGAACAUGUAUUGAAGCAAGUUCUUAGCAUCAGCCAUUGAACGCAACUGAUUCCAACGUCCACGGUUAGUGAAGAGACGGUCCCGCUCUUCUGCCUCUGAAAGUUGUGAAGCCAUUGCUACAAGUGAAUUAGAUGAUAUGCUCAGCAUAUUCUCAAGUGAAGAUAUUCGGGCCAUUCUUGCAUUUGGUGACAUAGAGGACACUCUGAACAAGCAAUUAAAUCAUGUUAACACGUCAAGCCAUUCUUCAUCAUUCCCAGACCAUCAAAAUGGAAAUAAUUUGGGGUGAAUAAAUAACUUUCACAACUUAUACCUAGCAAAUCCAUUCUUUCCCCUCGGAGGACUGAGUCCCUUUGAAGCAAACUCAUCCACUUGCUUCAGCACUGCCAACUCUUCCGCCAGUGCAGCUCGUCUGCAGAUUAUUUGUGUUAGCAUAAAGAAAGACGUUUUAAUUCAUAUUGGAAACAAAUAUAAAUAAUGAACCUACACUUGGCUCUGCUUCUCAUAUUCAAAACGAACUUCAUGCACAUUCACCAUGACCUCUAGCUCAUGGUCAAGCCACCGUUGAAAGGAUUUCUCAUUGCUCUACAUAUAUCAAUUAAUUCAAAAGUAUUAAUGAGAAUUAUACACAUUUAUUAAAAAUAAAACUUAUCAGUAAAAGAGAAAGCAAAGAUCAUUACCUGCCCAUUUGUUAAAUUUCCAUUUGUGACAGCUGGAAGAUAGCAUGAAAUUAGAUAAAUUGAGUAUAAAAGCAGAGGCCCAUGGUCUAAAAAUGCCAUGUAUCUGGUAAACAAAUAGCCCCUCCAGUAUAGUAACCAUUGAUCAAGUAUGUGAUGAAGAGUGAUGGAUUUUCUAAUCUUUAUAUAAGAGGUGCUGUAUGUUUACCUGAGACAAGGGCUUUCUAGUCAUCAGCCAUAAAAGGGUAAAACUGAAAGUGAAAAGUUUACCUGAAUUCUCACGGGCAGAAGAUUUACGUGAUUCCAACAACUCUUUUAGCCUCUUGGUGGCCAUUGCAGCCUCUUCAGUCUUUCUCUGAAGAACCUGCAUGAAAGAAAUUUGUUCCAGUUAACAGUUUAUUUCUAAUACGUAUAAAUCACGGAGACUUAUGAAGCCUUUUCUACCUAAGCAAUGGACUAGACUAAUAAUUUUAUUUUAUUUUUUAUUUUUUGAACAGAGUAAUACUUGAAAUGGACUCAACUAGAAUGGGCUCCACUUUUUCUUUCUUGAGGUCAAUUCGUUCCUUAUUAGAUUAUUUUGAAAUAUCAACUCAGGAAUUAGAACAUACUGAAUUUCAAUUAUAAUAUUUUGGGCAAUUCGGCAUUUAAAGCGAAACUUCCAUAAUAGGUUCUUAACUUGUCAAAGUGAAACAGCCUUAAAUAUGAUAGCAGUAACUGAACAUGCCAAAAAGUCGGAAACAUAGCAAACAGGGUUUGAGGGAGACAAACCCAUGAUAAGAAUCUAGCUGAUAAAACAAAUUUGAAGAAGCAGCAAACAUAUAUAAUGAAAAUUGGAAUUGAGGCCAGAUAGUUUGCUUUCUUAGACUUUUUGCUAUUAUCUGCUGUUUUCACCACAUUAUGAGGGCAAAGUCAGGAUGGAAAUCUUAAGAGGCAAAUAAAUUGCUACAUUCAGUGGUACAUUCUUCUUGGAAAUAUUAUUGAGAUAGAUUCAUAACAUAAGCAAGCAGGAAAGAUUUGCUCACCAAUUUCUGGCGUUGGUUCAAAGCUUGCAGCUUAUGCCUUUCAUACUCAUUUCUUCUUCCCUCCUUACGUAACUGCUUUCAUCGAUAUGUGAAUAAAUAAGUUAACAUACAUACAUACAUGCAGACAAUAUCUUCAUAAAGUUUACAGAUCUGAAGCAUACUCUAUACAUACUUUGUUUAAUUGUUUUGUUUGCGUUACCUUAUUCAAAUAUCUAAAGUAUAACUAAUCCGUAGGUUCUCUUAUUUAACCUCCUAAAAAAAAAGGUUCUCCUUCAGGAUGAAUAAAAUAUAAAACAGCUUUGGCAAUUAGUAAAUUUGACUACACAUUAUCAUAUGACUUUAUGCAGGGGUGAAUCCAAGCUUGCUCAGCUUGCUGAAUCUUUUAAUUCAAAUUAUUUAUUGGCAGUCAACCAGCUGCUAGAAUUCUUAAAAACGAAUUUAUAAUACUGAGUACUGCCACCGGGAGUUUAGGGUUUAAAGGAACAAAAGUGCAUGCAACAAAAUUGCAACUACAUAACAUUGUGCAAAGAUGAGAAUGAGUUUUGUAGUUUGCAGGCUUAACUACCUAAAGUAGAAUUUCAACAGUAUUGUCAGAAAGACCAAACCACGCCCCUUAAAGUUACAAACAAGUAGUAACAAAGAUACAAACGAAAAAUGUGUUCUGUAUAAAAAGAGAAUUCAAUGGAUCCCAACUAUUCCUGCUCCACCCAAUAAUCUUCCCUUACAUAAAAUCGAAUGGACAUAUAUCAUUUACCGGAAUGAGCAUAAAAGAUAAUGAUACUGCAUGUCUUUUCCAAAUUAUUUGUUUCACAGAACAAGUAAAGCACCUGCAAAAGUUCCUUCUCUCGAGAAGCCUUCCACUGUCGGAAUUGUUCAGCUUCUUGUUUUAUCCUAUGUUGCAAUUGAACCUACACAAAGAUGCAAGGGAACAAGAAGAAGAAAAUCAGCAGUGGACAGAGUAGAGACAACAAAAAAGGACUGAAAAUAACACGAUGCAUUAAAAGCCAAAGUGACAGUUAACCUUUUGAGCCUUUAUAAAUUGAAUUUCAUCUUGCAACCGCUUUGCUGCUUCAUCACUCUUUUGUUUCUGCUUUAAAAGUUGAACCUGGCUCUCCUGUUUUUUCUUGAGAUCCAGAAUCUGUUGUGCAUAGAUUAUGAAGACUGUUUACUACUUGAAUUAAGUUGUGAUAUUUAUAUGGAAUUGUGACAAAAGCCAACAUUACCUGUGCCUCAAGUGAUUUUAAUUUAUGGGCAUGUACAUCUUGCAAUUUUUGUGUUUGCCCAUCAGAAUUUGAGGCAAGAUUUUCAAUUUCAGUCAGCAAAUGAUCUCUUUCUUUCUGCAGCAAUAAAACAGGUGUGCAGAUGAGUCAUCUGUUAUUUCAAGGAGUGUGAAAAUUGAAGAACAGUUCAAUAAACUUCUUUUUGACCUGCACAGUUCGUUUUUCAUCCUCUAGUUCUGCUAUUUUCUUCCCAAAAUGUUGCUUGAGUGCUGCAGUGUCAGAGCCACCAACAAGUUUCAUCUCUGACUGCACAGACAUUAUAUGUAAAUUAUGAAGGGUGCUGAUGACUUCUUUGUCCAAAUGAUUUGCAAAAGUUGAAGAUAUACAGAAGAAAUGUCAGAAUGUAGAAGAAAAUUACUCCAGAAUCAUGAACCAGCCAACAGUUCUUAAGAUUUUUCUUUAAACAGAGGUAAAAUUCCAGGAAAAAAAAUGAAAAUAAAAAAAGAAAAAAAGAAAAAUCAUCAAAUAUUUUUUCAUGGGAAUCCAAACUGGGCCAGACUAUCUUCCAGAUGAUUGAGGAAGGAUGAGAUUAAAUGGAAGUACAUUACCCUUAUUAUCUCAUGCUAUGCUGUGUAAGAAGUUUAUGAAGUAAGAAUACACAGUUCCGAAAAUUGCCAAAUACUAGGAAUAAAAACAUAAAAAAUAUAUAUUCUGAUGAAAAGUACCUCUUUCUCCUCCAAACGCCUGUUCAAUUCAUUCAACUCUUUGUCCAUAGAAUUCUGUAGAAGUGUGUGCUCCCACUCCUUUGCGACUUCAUCAAUUUCUCUGGAAUCACCUGCCAAAAUUGACAUUGUAUUCUCAAUGUCAUAGAUCCAUUGAAAGGAAACUUGAAUUCACAAUAUCUGAAAGAGAAACUGAUUCAAUCCAAUAGAUGAAAGAACAAGUAGAAGACUGGAAGUCAUUUUGAAGCUUACCCAGUUUACCAAUGAUUACAGACAUUUUACCUAAUUACUAUAUCAGAGAAGUUUCAUACCUGUUAUAUUUUCACCCAUUUGAUAAUCAGUUUGCUCAAUACUAUUCAAGCUCCUUUUAAGCCCAUCACUUUUCAGAGGACAAGGACUACCAUCCUGAAAGAUGAAGUAUCAAUUUCACACGUAUAGUGAAUCAUCCAUUGAUCAAGCCUAACUGUAAUAAUAAUCAUGACUAAAGAAUUAUAGUCAACUCUCCCAUGUCCUUUUUUUUUUUUUUUUGUGGGAGGGCAACACAAAAGAUAAAAUCUCCCAUCUUUUAACAAAAGGAGAAAAGAACUAAUGGAAGAGUUCCAAAAGACAGAAGACAUGUUCACAUACUUGAGCGUCUGUUUCACGCUGCUCUACAUCAGUGCAUCUGCUGCGGUAUUCAUGGAGUUCACGGCAAAGAUCUUCAUUAGCAGCUUCAAGCCAAGCAAUCCUUUCCUUGAGAACCUAGGCAAAUGAUUAAUGAGAUAACUUAUGAAAUCGAUUAAGAUACAACUAUCUCCAUAAACGAAAUUGAUAAUUAUUUUGUUCGUUCAAACCAAACUAUCCUUUACAUAGAGAACCUCAUAAGUUUUACCAUAGCGUAAAGUAAUUAAUCCAGUAUAAUUUUUCUAUAUAAGAAGAUGUGAGAAUAAAAAUAUUGAAAAAUUCUUAUGAUCAACAGAAUAUCCAAGGUAAAAAUUUAGAACCCAGAUACCUGUACUUCAUCAGACGAAGAUCCUCCACCACGGGCGCAAAGUUCUGCCUGCAAAAACUCUAGUUGUUGACGCAUCUUCAGCAUCUCAGUGGACAUGGGAUCUCUGUUGACCUAUUUAAGACAAUUCAAAACCAGAAAUAAAAAAAAUCAUAAAUGCAUGAAAAAAAUUGUGCCUUUACACAAGUGUAAAGAGAAUGAAAUCAACAAUUUUCUGUUGAACUUACAAUAGGCUUAUUUUGUAUAUUUCGAGCACGAUUUGCAUAUUUUAGAGUGUUGAGGGUUUCCUCAGCAUUAAUAUCAGCAGGACUAAUGCAGGCUGUAGAAGGUAAAAUUGUAUUGAUAUAAGAAAUAACAUUAAGAUCACCAAUCAAAUGUCAGAGAUUGCCAAUGAAAAACCAGGGUAAGAAGGAACUAGAAUAUAUGAUUAAAGAUAAAGGAUUUACAGAGAUCAAACUUGAGGAUAAAUAAGUUACCUAUCAUAACAGUUCGGCUGUUACCACCAAGUGAAUCCUGCCAAAAUACCUGAACUUAGUCUAAAUAUAUAAAUAGAAAAGGAUGAAAAUAUUUAUAAUAAAAAACACAAUAACAAUUAAGAAAAAUAUCAUCAUAGACUCUCCUAAAGAGUUUCUGAAAAUCACAUCUCAUUUCAACCCAUUAUUUCCACAAUCAACUGGCCGGCUAAUACCAGAUUACGUAUGAAAUGCUUAGGGAGAAAAAUUCCUAUCAAUAGUUCAAUCUUUCUGGACCAUACUUCUUUAUACUAUCAAACUAGACUAGAUAAUUUACCCCUUGCAUCAGACGCAUCAAGUUACCUGCAAAAGCCUAGUAAGUUUACUGUCCCGAUAAGGCACAUGUACGCCUUCUUUGCGCUUUUUAUCAUCACCAAGAGCGCUGAUAACGUUACCAAGUGCAAGAAGGCCCCUGUUAAUAUGAACUCCUGUUUAAAUGUAAAUGCUCUGUUAUCAUGUUUUGACCAAAAGCACAGUAUGAUUCUACUUAUGAGAAAUCUCCACCAACCUUCCUUGAAACGCAAACCAUCAGAACCAGUUCUUUUGGCCCUCUCUGAUCCAGCAAGAUCUACCAAAUGCAACUUGGCACAUAGAUAUUCUUCAUUCAUACUCUCAUUAGGACUGCUGUCUCCCAGAGAAACUGGACUAAGCUUACGCAUUUGCUCUAGGGUGAUGGUGAAGAUGGCAUGUGAACGACUGUAUGAACACAUACCAAAAAUAUACACAUGUUAACAAAUCUGAUAAUACCUCUCAAAAAAUUAAAAAAUCUGAUAGCUACUGUAGAUUUUACAGUCAUUAUAGAGAUGCAAUGUUUUUCAAACCAGCAUGUUACACAAAUACAAUAUUCAAAAGGUUUAUUUGGGAAACUUUUUUUUUUAUGGAGAGAAAUCUUUGUAUGAUCCCAGUAUGUCCAAAAAUACUGAACUAAUAUUUGGAAAGGUACAUGACAAAUUUGGAAAGAUAAAGAUCUUUUUCCAUAUGAUGGAAGGAUAUUGUCAAAUAGCAGUUAUAGAUGAAAUUACCGAAACUUAAAUGUAACUGAUCAAAACAGAGUAGUAAAGAUUUACCUUGAUUGAUUGUUCAUGUUUGUACUCCCAGUUGCCCUGCUCAAUGAUCCUUGCUCUAAACAGGCCGCCAUUUCUUUUAGUGAGCUAACACUAACUUCAGUGGAUCCAGCCAACGUAAUAACACCAUUUGAUGUUUCUCGGAUUUGUAUUGGAGGUUUCCCGGGUACAGUUACUUUUCCUGUGUGUCCAUUUGCAGUAUCUGGUUUGUUCAAACAAGGGGGAUCUAGCAAAUCCCGUACCUCUUCUUUUAGAAUCUUUUGACAACACAGGAUUUUUUGGUUAGAUAUUUACCACAACAAUGCAUUAUACUAGAAACAUAUAAUAUUUUAGAAAAUACCCAAUUAUGUAAACAACUCUUCAAACCAUGACUUCAGCAGUACAUAGUUUGAUAGGGAAAUUCAGCUCAACAAAGAUCGAAAGUUUCAUUCAGUAAAACAGGAUGCCAAAAAAAUAUAUGGUAGCUAGAGAUUAGAAUUACUGUGACUAUGUUGCAUAACUGAACAGAAUGCACACAACAAGGAAUCUCAAAUUGAAAUAGUUGAGAAAAUGAUUUAAAACAAAGAAGCUACAUGAUGAAUAUAAUAGACAUCUUUAUCUCAUAUCUGGUUUGUUCAAACAAGUGGGUGUAGCAAAUCUCGUAAUUCUUCUUUUAGGAUCUCUGACACAGGAUUUUAGUUAGAUAUUUAUCACAAUAAUGCAUUAUAUUGGAAACACAUAAUAUUUCAGAAAAUACCCGAUUGUGACAAAAAUUCUUCAAACCGGAGCUUCAGUGGUACAUUGUUUGAUAGGGAAACUCAACUCAACAAAGAUUGAAAGUCUCAUUAAAACAGGAUGCCAGAAAAACAUAAGGUAGCUAGAAAUUAGAACUACGGUGACUACGAUGCAUAAGUGAAUCAAAUGUACACAACAAGGAAUUUCAAAUCUAACUAGUUAGAAAAUGAUUUAAAACAAUGAAGCUACAUGAUGAAUAUGAUAGACACCUUUUGAUCUCAUAUGACUUCAUGACAAGCAACAAAUACUAGAUAAAUAUAUCCUGUUUAGUACUUUAACAAAAUUUAUCAAAUUUUCUCUUGCAGGGAUUUUUCUGUGUUGCGACGAGGAACAUAGAUUUUCAGUCAUAUGACUGAUGUUUGUUCUGAACUUGAUAAAUUUUUAAGAGAACAAUGCUGAGGCUCAUAUAUAGAAGAUGGCACCACAGAGUGUAACUGAUGGAUAUACGAAGAAGAAGAAAGGCAUCAACAAACCUCAAUGAAGGAAACAUGCAAUUGGAAUUCGGUUUGAUCCUUUAGAGUUUCGAUUUUGCUGAACAGAACAUUCAUAACUAGAGGAAUUAUUCCCGUUUGGUAUCCAUCUUUGAAGCCAGUUCCCAUUGUAUAUGUUUUUCCAGAUCCUGUCUGUAACAUAUUGAAACGUUAACUGAAAGAAAGAUGAUUACUCAAGCAUACAUUGCUUCAAUUGAGCAGCUUUUUCCACGGAACAUAAUCUUUACCUGACCAUAAGCGAGGACAGUUGCAUUAUACCCUUGAAACAAACCAUCAACAAGUGGAGCAAUACAUUCAUCGAACAUGGCAGAUGAAGGAGAACCAGUGCUCCCAUAUACAUGAUCAAAAGUAAAGGAGUGUGUCCCAAUUUGUACCUGCAGCAUAGUAAAAACCAGCAUCAGAAAACACACACGCAAGCACAUAUAGACACAAAAAUUCACAAAAUUACAAGCACUGCAAUUCAUAUCUUAUAACUACUGAAACUCCAGAAACCUGUUAAACUUAAUUCACAAGUGGAAAUUCUGUUACUCAAUAUGAAACGGAAGGAAUAUUUAUGAGACAGCUUAAGUGCUAAAAUGGUGUAUCAUGUUUGGCCCUUUCAUACAUAAAGUACCAUAGAUAUUAAUCAUAUUUACAUAGAAAUACUUCAAAAUAUGAGAAUAGAGACGGGGACAAGCUGGGUGAUUCCAGAAAGUUGCAGAAGCUUUAGCUUGAUCUUAUAGUAAACAACAAAAAUGCAUAUGUAAUUCAGAUUAAUAAUAUACCGAUUGCCAAUAUGAAAUGUAGCAGACGCAGUGAACAGGCUACAGAAGAAAUAGCAAGAAGACUUACGGCACUGUUCAAUUUAAUUAAAUUUUUUCCUUAUCUCCUGAAACUUAAUUAGCUGAGGACCACUAUGGGAAAAAGCUGGAUACUCGUAAUUUACACCAAUAAGCUUAGGGACAGGCUUUGCAGAAGAGAGUAAAUGGACCAGUCUGAUUAUUCUAACGUUUUUCCAUAAAAGCAAACAAAGGCCAUGGCAAGGAAUUUCCUGAAUUGCAUCAUAACAAACAACAAGCGCAGCCAUUGCCUCUGAUUGGAACUUAUGAAACUAAUCCAAUCAGCGGAAGUAACUAGUGAUGACUAAAUUCUGUCAUCCAAGUCAAAAAUGCAAGACUCUCAAAAUUCUCACAAGACUGUUCAGCCCCUUAAGAUCCAGAUCUUCGUAACAUUUUUAACAGUGAAUUCACGCACGCUGAACAUUCACGUUCUUACUACUGUAGUGUUUCCACUUUCCUGCAGUAUCCAUACCUGAGGCUUCCCGGGAACGACAGCGACACAAUCCUUACAACCUUGUGCACGUUCGUCACCAAUGAGCGGUCUUACGUGCACGGCAACCUUCACGCAACAAUCCUCUCCACCGCCAGUUUCCAUAUGAAGCAGCUACGGAUUAAUUCGAGACACUUUUCAGAAACGGCAAGAACAGAGAGAACGAGCGUUAUUAAUGUGUCUGAAAGAUCAAUCAGUCUCAGCUAUAAAACCGUUGUCAUUGUCUCAGAAUUUGGAGAAUUUCGGACAAAGAAAGUGAUGAAGCUAAUAAGGGAGCAAGAUAUGAAAACUAAGAGUUAAGUUUCAGACAAUGUGUUAGAGAGAGAGAGAGAGAGAGAGAGUAUGUGUAGGAAAAAAAAUGGUAAAAGAUUAGAUACAGAGAGAGAGAGAGAGAGCGAAGGGUAGUUGGGGAAUUAGAGGAUGGAGAACAAAGAGGGAUACAAGUAGCAACCGAACAGUUUAACUACAAAGACAACAACCACUAUCAUUUUCCUUAGGCUUCACUGCAUCACAACAGCUUUCACGGUUGUGUGCGCGCAAAAGUUAAACUUUCAUGACACUCUUUCCCAUUUUGCCCUUCUCCUCGCACAACGACUCUCACCUUCCUUCCUUCAUGGCGUCGUCCCCCACUUUUCCGGAUCACUUUUACGGUUUUACCCUCUCUCUUCCACGUAUAAUACAAGAAUACAAAUCAUGAUUGUCCCCACAAUACAGUAGAAAAAAGAGGAGAUGGCACAGCACACAAGCCACGUGACAUGGAAUCAUAUAUUGAUUUCUUGAGAAGUUUUGGGCACGAGCAGACUAAAGAGGACUCCGUGUACAACUAAAUUUUUCUUUGCAUGUGCAGUGCAUGUACGGGAUUUGCUCUAUGAUUGAGAAGAAAGUGAACCGUCCUUAAAUUAUGUACAAUUUUAUUAGAACAUACACUAGCUUAAAAAUAAUAAAUGCGAAACAAAUGAAUAUUAAUUUUCAUUACCUAACUACCAAGGUCUUGAUUUAAAAAAAAAUUAAAAAAAUAAUAAUAGUAGCGUUGUCAAUGAGUUUUGGUAUUUGAUAGGAAGAAGAAAGUGAUGUGGGGGAAGGUGGUACUGGCAAUGGUAGAGGAAGAGAAGUAAAGAAAAGGGUGGGGUGGGAGAGAGAGAGAGACCCACACAAUAGACAUAGCCAGCUGGUGGUCUCCCAUCCUCACAUGGCCUUUUAGUGUCUGUAGACCUGACUGGACCCCACUUUAAAAACUUGGUCAGACCGAAACUGGUCCCCAUGUUUUUACUGAUUUUGAAGCAGUUCAUAAAUUCAUCUUUGGUCUUUUGCAACUUUAAGGAUCAUCUUCCUGUGUCAUGCCAACGCACCCGGCUUAGCCUGUGGAUACAAACCAAAUUAUAUCAUGACCUACGACCAUUUUCUGUUUUCUGACCUUAGAUUUUAAUUAUCAUUAAAGCCUUUUCGAAAUCUCUCUUUCUUUAUGGUUUAAAGGAGCUAGCUAGAUCAGAUCAGAUCAGUGAGUGAGUCCCUUGCAUACUUGCACCAAAUGUACUUUUGUGGCUCAGGAAAACACAUGCGGUGCACGAGCCGAUCAGUGUAAUGGAACAAUUUGUGCUUAGUGUUGAGCAUUCAUGGGGUCGUUUAAGAGGGGUUAAAGCGGACCCUGGAAGUAGAUAAACCUGACCUUCGGUGAUGAUAAACAUAGGGCUGUGCACGUUUUGGCCGGCAUUGGACCAGCGUAUCUGUUACAUGAAACUGUCAGAUAAAUAGUUUUGACAGCGAUGUUGAGGAUUUUAGGAUUGCAUUUUAAGCAGGCUAAAUUGGUUUUGCAAGCAUCAUCACGGGGUCAAAUCACAUGAUUUUUACUGUGAUUUUUUGUAUCCACAGAAAUGCAUAAACGAUAAAAUAAGGUUUUAGAAGGUUUGAUAAGAUUUCCCUACCACAUAAUGGAGCGUGCCUUACCUUUUUAAGUGGGCCUUAGCUGAAACAUCUUGUUCUUGUCAUUAUAAUAUUUCCAUUCUGGGAGAGCGUAACCAACUAAUUUUGCAAAUUUUGAAAAAGAAUAGAAAGUAUCUAAAUCUUGACAAUUAUUUCCCAUCUUUCAGGUGCUGUGCAAAUGUGGACGUAUUUCCUAAUUAACCCGUUAAAAGGCCUAAUAACGUACAAGUGACUUUGCCAUGUUGGCAGGUGGGUAAAAUUUUACCAUUCCUCUGCCUUUCGUAGCCUUUUUCUUUGCUGCGGUAGACUGCAAGUUAAGCAAGCCGCUGGGGAAACCAAUCCAAUUGGCUUCUGCAGUAAUCUAUCCAGUUGCGUGCUUCAUUCACAAGAAAGAAUUGCGAGGGCAAGAAAAUGAUGGAAAAAAAAAAAAAAAAAAAAAAGCUGAUGCAAAGAUCCUAAUCUGAAGUUUCGUUUCACAACCUAACUCUCCAUUCAUUGGAUUUUUCAUUUUUCCCAAUUCGGCCGUUAGUUUGGAUGCACACCAAGCAACCACAGAGACCCCACUUAAUGACUUGUGCUGGUUCAUCAGCUUUGUCCAGGCAUUGUAUUUUGCAAUUUUAACCUAUAAUAUACGAAGAAUUACGAUGAUACUUCUUGUAUAGCAAAAGGGAUUAAUUCUGUCACACGGUUCUUCUAAUACUAUGUAUGCGCUCUUCAAGUUGUCUUGUUGUCAAUCCCCCGACGGAAACCCAACACUGCGUUAUCACUGGAUCAUGAGAACAGUACAAGUAUGCAACGAUGUGACUGGGGGAAAAUUAAGUCCAUAGCUUUUUUAGUUUACUAAUUAAAUUUCAGAGACCAGUUGCUACUUCUGCAGAAGUGCGUUCUUUAUUCUACCCUCAGUGUCACCCGACUUUUUUCGUUAUGUGGAGCUUAGCAUCACAUGCUCCUACCUGCUUUACAUCACACUAUGACUCUCAUUUCUCAGUCCUUACUUUUUAUCCCAGACGCCCUCUUUCUGUCCCCUCUCAUUCUAUCACAGCCCCAUAAGCAGCUCUUUUUUAUUUACGUGAAUAAUUUUUAAUACCGUUAUUAAACUAAGUUUGGAGUGCAUAUCUUAAUGUCCAAUCCCAUUGUUCUGUUACUCAGUGCACUCAUUUUUAAGCACAUUUAACAUAAUCUUAAAGGGGUUCAUCCAUAGAGGAGAUAUGAUUCCACAUAGGCAUAAUGAUCACCGUGGCCCUUUUGUCAACCCAAAGCCAAUAUACAAUCUAAUGGUGCUUUAUUUUUAGUUUUUCUUCUCCAUCAUACAUUGUCUUGGAUAUAAACUGCAAUAUCGCAGCUAAAGCUCAAGCUUUUCCCCCUCUUAUACAGAACCUUUAAGUUAUUAAGCUUAAAAAGCAUUUGAUUUUGAACAGUGUGGAGACAUAGCAUGUGCAUUAUUGCUAGAAUUCAUUAUGCGCAUGCUUCAUUGCGUGGAUAGGCAUACAUCUAGCUGUGGGGCAGGCUCCUCUCAUGAAAUGGAAAUACUUUUUCUGUUGCUACUUGUAUCUAGUGAUAUUCAUUCAUCCAAAUCGAUUGUGUUGAUGAAUGUUAACGUGGAUAAUCUUCGGCCACAGAACAAGCCUUCCAACAAUUUCAUGGCCAUGCUAUAUCAUUCAUUCAAUCAUUGUUCUGAUUAACAUUUUAAGGUCAAUGAUAUUUGGCAAUUCUGGGUUCGUUUAGGGUCAUAUUGCUUCCUUGUGAGGAUUAGAAGAGCACACUAGCACUUGCUUCCGUAGAAGUCACUUAUUUUAGGGGAGAUUUGAAUUUGAAACUUGCCUUCACAAAUCCAUAUCUUCUCUUUGUUUAGUUAACACUUAACCCCUCCUCAUAUGAACCAAAAAGCAUAGACCUCAAAUCACAUUUUGGAAAUGUCGAUUAUGUAGUGUUAACAUUUUUACGAGUUUACAGUUUAAACGCUUGAAGAGGGAGAGGAGUUUGGAAAUUGAAAGAGAUUCCAAUGUGACCUCGGGCUCAUUUUCAACUGUUGAAAGGAAGGGUAUUGUUACACAUUUCAAAAUUUAUCCCCAAAAAAAAAUCCUUCCCAAAUGAGUGAUUUAUUGCGCUUACAUUAUUUACAAGCGAUGCCCAAGUUCGAACGAGUUUGAUGUUUCCAACUUUCCAUUACUCGCUGCAGAGAGCCUUGUCUUUUAUCUGGUUUAUGCGUUCAAAUCUUGUACCAGGUUGAGCCCUUUUUGGGCUCCAACAAACUCUAGGCCCAUUUUUUACUUUAAAAGCCCAACAAACUCAAACUUCAACGGACCUACGUGUGUGCGUGUGUGUGUGUAUAUAUAUAUAUAUUGAAAUGAAAAUUUCGAAAAAGGAGACCGAAAUAAAAAAUCAUACUAGUGCAUUGUUUUACACUUUCACUUUAACUCAACACCAAGCGACUGGGCUCAAACACUCUCCGCUCCUCAGAUAUAAAUAGAGAGAGAGAGAGAGAGAGGGGUGUCAUAAAAUUCAAUUAAAAAUUUUUCGGUAAGGACUACUGUAUUAAUAUAUAAGUUUCAAGUUUGUACUAAAAAGGUUGUAAUACAUAAAUAUGAAUCAUGGAAGAAACAAAGUAAAAUUAAGGGUUGGUUAUUCAAAUCCACCAAAUUCUUCUUUAUACUCAUUUUAAAAAAUAAUGUAUUAUUAAAAUAAAAUUUUAAAAUUACCAUUCACUAAUCUAUUAUGAAUGAAUUGAUGAGAAUUUAUGAAAUUGAGAAGAAAAAUAAAAUAAAUGAUUAAUUCAGUAAUUUUUUGAAAAAAUUAUGAGUGAGACUAUUUGAACCCACCGAUUUCCUUCCUACAUCUUUUUUUCUAAUUAAGAAUUUUAUUAUUUAAAUAAUUUUUAAUAAAAUUACUUAAUUAACCGUUUCUUUUCUUUCUCAUCUCAAUUUCAUUAAUUCUCAUUAAUUCAUUCCGAUAUAUUUUUUUUAACUGUAAAUAAUUGAUGUCACAAACUAAGAUAAACAAAAGCAACAUUUUAAAUUGAAUAUCAACAAUUUCUUAUCAGCCAUAAAAUUAAUAAAUAUCAAGAAAUUGAUUUUUACUAAACAUAAAAGUUGAUGAAUAUAAAGAAAAAAUUCUUAUAUGCAAAAAACAUAAAAUAAAGAUCACGAUCUUAUAAGAAAUACCAAAAAAUAAAUUAUAAAAUAGUAAAAUUGAGUGUUUAAUUUAAAGAAUGUAAGAAUAGAGAUAAUAUUUAAUGGUAAAGUAGGGUGAAAAAUAUUAAUGAAGAAAAAAUUUAAAAUUUUGAGAUUUUUAAUUUUUUAAUGAUAAAUUUAUUUUUUAAAACAGAUAUAAAAAAAAAAACUUGAUAGGUUCAAUUAAUUUCACUUAAAAAUAUUUAUAUAAUAAAAUUCAUAAUUAAACAGCGUAGGGAGUAAAUUGGUGAGUUAGCCCCAGCCUAAAAAUGAUUGGUCCGUGGUGGCAAGCAUUUAGAAAAAUAAAAAUUCCCUUAUGUUAUGUCGGUGCAGAGAAUUAAAAAAAGUGGAAAGAGAAAGUAAAAUAAUAAAUAAAUGGCUAAAAGGACGAAGCAUAUCUUCGUCUUCGAGUCGGCGUCGUGAAAUAUAGAAGCAUGGAAGUUGCGUAAGCUUCAAUCUUCCGUUUAAGAAUAUCAGAAGUCAACAUCCCGGGCAGCAAGCACGUACACGGUACUCGGUACUCGGUACUCGGUACUCGGUACUCAUAAGCUUGUUUCUUCUGCAAACAAACAUUGAUUAAUACAGUUAGUUAUACAAGCGAUCAUAAUUCAAACGUAAGAGUCAUCAUGUCGGGUGGUAUUGCUCGCGGCCGUCUCACAGAGGAGCGAAAAGCCUGGCGCAAGAAUCAUCCCCACGUAUUUGAUAAUUUUUUUUUUUAUUUUUCCUUUUUGUCGUUUUAACCGCUCGCUAUUUUCAGUUCUGUGUCUCUCCAUUUUAUUUGCACAAAUGUUGUGAGGUUUGAUUUCCUGUUAUAGGGUUUUGUGGCCAAGCCUGAAACCAAAGAUGGUUCCGUGAAUUUGAUGAUCUGGGAGUGUAUCAUUCCUGGCAAGACUGGGGUUAGUCUUUCUUUUACUGAGAGAGUGAAAGUUGGGAUUUUUUUUUUUUUGGGGGGCGGAUGGGGGGCGCUUUUGUAUAAAGUUUUGAUCUCGAAGUUUAAACCUUUGAAUGAUUCAAGGUACUGUGUAUUAGUUAGGGGUUAGAAUUAAAAGUUGUUAUAUUUUUCAUAUAUUCUUCAAUUAUCUGUCAAUGUUGUUUUUUAAUUGUAUGACCUUUUAUACAGCAUUGUCUGAUCUCUGCCCUGCGGGGAUUACUGUACAGUUUUGUAGUUCUUAUCAAUUUUAUUCCCCUGUUUCUUGUCCCGCGGCUCUUUUCAAGCUGCCCAGUAAUUUGGAAGAUGUAGUCUCAGUUUAAAUUUGCUGGAUGCUCCAAAUUCCAUUCUUGUCUAAAUGUCUCAUCAACUAAAAGAUCGAUAUUGUUGAUUACGUUUUUGAGAUGCAAACAAUAUCAGAUGAUUAGUUUAACAGACAGAGUGGAGAUACUGGUGCCAUUUGCUUGUCCACUAUUGAAUCUCCUAUUUUAGACAAUUUUAUGGUGAUUUACAAUUUUAUUUUUUUUCCCCCACUGAAAAAAAAAAAAAAAAAUGGCAGGGCUUAGCUUUAAGUUUUAAGGGAUGUGUAUAGUUACUUUCUUGUUAGUACCCAUAGUGAUUACAAUGAGAUGUUACUGCCUCAUUUGAAUAGUACCAUCCUUCUUAAUCUUGCAGACUGAUUGGGAAGGUGGCUACUUUCCUCUUACUCUCUACUUCAGCGAAGACUAUCCCAGCAAACCCCCAAAGUGUAAGUUUCCUCAAGGUUUCUUUCAUCCUAAUGUCUACCCUUCUGGAACAGUAUGCCUGUCAAUCCUCAAUGAGGACAAUGUAAGUUCUUCUUGCCGCUUUGUCAUAUACUUCCAAAUUAUGUAUGGUAGUGGAUUAGCUAAAAUUUCCAGUUUAGAUGACAUGAUGGCUUUCUUCUAGGGGUGGAGACCUGCCAUUACUGUGAAGCAAAUUUUAGUGGGCAUUCAGGAUUUGCUGGAUCAACCCAAUCCUGCUGAUCCAGCACAAACUGAUGGAUACCAGCUUUUCAUCCAGGUGCUUUAUUGGUUCAUAUAAACUCUCAGUUUUAAGUUUACUGUAGUUUCCAUUCUUAGUAUUAAAGAAUGCGGCCUUUUCCUUAAGCAAUAUGGCUUGACAUGAACAGGAUCCUGCCGAGUACAAGAGAAGGGUGCGACAGCAGGCCAAGCAAUAUCCACCUGUUAUAUAAUGCAAGCUUGCUUAAAUGGAUAUGAGUAACUCAUUUGUUACCUCACAUGGUUUAUGUCCAUCAUUAUUUACUACAGUAAACGCAGUUACAAGUGCACCAACUUUGGUGUUGAACAUGUUAUAAUAUGCUACCUGUAUCAUUUGUGAAGGGUGCUUUUAUUGGCUGUCUUGUUUUCUUCCUGUUCUGUUGACCGUUUGGCAACUUUUAAGGGUGUUACAAAUUAUGCUGGUAGUUAUGGAUAUUGCAAAUUAUGCUGAUUGUUAUGAAGUUAUGUGUUGGCUUUUCAAUUAAGUAUACAAAGAUGGAGUAGGUGAUAUAGUUGCUAAUACAUAAUUAUGAAAUUUUUUGGCAUUUAAGACUAUACAGUUCUUUUCUGGAUACAGGUACCUCAAUGAUUAGUGGGUGGUAUUGCUGUGUUGUAAGUUGCUUAAAUAAUUUGUUGCUUAUUUGAUGUGCUUGGUUGAUACGGGGUACUUGCAAUUGCAGUAAAAUCCGAGUGGGUUGAGAUUAGCAAGGUGAAUGUGUGAAAAUACUGGGAACGACAUGUAAAAGCUGAUGAUAGAAAGUGGCGUCAGCAAAUGUAUAAGUGUGGAAAGUAAGUUUGGGUGAGAACCUGAGAAAAUGAUGAUGGUAUAUGAUGCCACUGGGAGGAGGAUUCUGGUGGAUCAGCUGAGGGUGACAACCUGAGAAAAUGAUGGUAGUAUAUGCUGCUACUUCUGCUUUGACAAAACAACAAUUGAGUUGAUUUCUAGUACUUGUAGAUAUGAAGGUUUACACUUGUAUAUGCGUAUAUGUUUUUUUUCAAUAUAGUGGGUUAUUACUUGAUAUCUGAUUUCCACCUCUUCUGUGUUUCAAGGCUUUGCCCUUGGUGGCAUUUGAGAAAUUGCUGGUAAAAAUUGAUAGCCUGUGGUAAUAUCAAAGGUUUAUAACUUCACAUGAUACAAUUAACAGUUAAAAAUGGCAUUUUGUACAUCCAUUUGUGCCUUUGGAGAUCCUAUGUUCCUUGUACAACUGCCUUCUUUGCCAUUUCCUUCAGAUGGUUUUGCAUUUUUCCCCAUCUGUACUGAUAUAUCACUGUUCUCAUGACUGCAUAUGUGCCUUCUUGAUCUUACCUUUCUUUAUUUGAGGUGAUUCCUCAGUUUCCAACAUCUACCUAAUUUUUGGUGCCUAUUUGUACCCCGAAUCUAGGCCCUUCACUUACCAGCUUUUCAUUGUGGAAUUAGCAUAGCAAAUAUGACCUUAGGAAGUCAGGCGCUCACCCGUGGAAGUACUGAGUUGCAGUCCCACUGUCAAACACCAUCUAAUCAAGUGGAUGUUCAAGUAUCAAAACUGUGGCGCCCAUCUAUUACUGUCAUCUAUGGUUAGUCUGUUCUACCAUCCUUGUAGUUACCUUUUUGAUAGUCUUUUAGCACUUUUCAUCUGACAAUAAAUGAAUGGUCUGAUUCUUAAAAUGCGCUGGUUAUAUUUGUGGAGUGAAAUACUGAAAUAUGCUGAAUAUAUUUAGCCUUCCAAAUGAGAUCCAUUAUUUAUUUAUUUAUAUAUUGUGCGGGGACAUAUGAUUGAAGAAGUCAAUUUAUGGCGUUUUGUUUUAUAUGCUGACGAAGAAUUGGAUGGCAGUUUAUUAAGUUCUGUUUCGCAUAGUCCUAUAACCAACUGAAGAGAGUAGAAUUUAAUUAGCAAAAGCUAGAGGAAAUUAGGACAGCCUUCAAAAAUAGACACGAUAUUAAAAAAUUGCCAUUUCACCGGCACCCGAGGAUUCGCUCACAGCCUUCUCAAUCAUCUCCUUCACCACAAUUAAACUCCUCCUCUAUCAAUUGAGUCCAUCUCUUAGCCCCAGCCUCCAUCCACUCCUAAUCUUAGCACCCGAGUAACCAACCUCUCGAUAUAAAAUUGCUUACCCGAGAUUGGCCGAGUCAUUGUUGGCAGCAUUCUUAGUAUAGCUUCAUCUUCAAAUGUCAGCUAGUCAGCUAUAUAUGAAAACUCAAGUGGGGAGACGGAACCUGUAAUUUCUCCGACAAUUUAAAGAAUCUUCCGUCGAACCAAGAGAAAAUUUAAUAGGGUGGAAUUUUGUGAACUUAUUGUUUUCACGUGUCACAAUUUGGUUCAUAUUUCAAAUAAGAUCAGACCAAGCGGUGACUAAAUAAGAAGAGACCAAGCAUGGAAUGAAAGUUGCAAACUUGAAGAGCUUAGACAAAAAAUUUUAAUAAAUUGAAAGCCAAAACAUAUAAUUUUCAAAUAGUUGAGCUAAAGUGUAAUUUGAACCUGUAAUUUGAACCCUCAUUGUGGAUUUUUUUUGUUUCCGCCGGCCCUGCUGUACCGUANNNNNNNNNNNNNNNNNNNNNNNNNNNNNNNNNNNNNNNNNNNNNNNNNNNNNNNNNNNNGUGGUGGUGGUUGGAGAUAAUAAUAGGAAUAAGCUUGUUCAAAAUUUCAGGGCGAUUCAGCGGUAAAGGUAGCAAAAAUUUGUUUGUUAUCGGCAAUAAUUCUGUAACUUUGUUAUGGUUCUUACUAGACUAGAGUUUGAUUUUGAUGUCAUAUGACUCGUGUCAUACCUAAAAAAUCUUGUUUGUUCUCCCUGUCCACAGAGCUUGACCAAACAACCCAUAUGAAAUACGCUCGUUUUUUUAAUUCUUAUUCCUUUAUCAUGUGCGUUAGGUGUUGCAAUAACGACGUUGCGUGGGCACCCAUUAGCACUUGUGUCACUUUGCCAUAGUCUUUUGACCAGUGAAUAGGUGUCAUGUUUCUCUUUAAGGCAUUUAAUCUAGAAUCUGAGGUUGAUUUGCUCCGUUCUCUUUCAAUCAUAUCAUCCCACAACAUGUUACCAACAAACGGGACUCGACUAGCUUACAGAAUCUGUCAGGUACAGACUGCAGCAUCAGCCGUUGGAUGUGGUUGGAUGUGGAGUGAGAAACUAAACAAUAGAAAAUCGGAUGGUGGGAUGACGGGAGAUGUUUGUUACAGAAUCUGUACCAUAGACAGGUCCCCAACAAACGUAUUUUCAAGCAUCUUAUUUUGACCUUCAACGCAUCCCAACAAAUAUUUGACACCACAUUCUCUGUUUUUAUUUCUUUAUUAAUUUCUCAUUUUUAAUUGUCAACCAAUGCCUAUUUUUUUCAGUAUGCUGAGCAAAUUGUCUUCUCUUUUUAUCGAAGGAUCAAACCAUCUUAUCCUGAGUAAGGAGCUGUAAUUUUAUCUAUCAAUGUGGGGCAUUAGACAAUCUUUAACACUUUAAUAGUUAGAGCAUUUGUUUAAUUUAGCUAUUUGGCAGAUUAUCCCCCAAAGUGUUUGAUAACUCUUGCAACUUAACUUUGGCAAGAUAAUUGAUUAUUUUUUCACAAUUAUUUACUGAAAAUGAGCUCUAAAAAUGAAAGUUACUUGACAUCUAAUAUUUUUUGGGAAAUUUACGAAAAUAAUCAUAAAAUUUUUGCUUGUAUUAUUAUUGUAUAUUUAUAGUUAUAAAAAAAUUAGGUUUUAUUUCUUUUAGUAAGUUAAAUAUAAAAAUAACGAAUGGCUCUUUUAAAAAAUAAAUAAAGAAAAUAAAAAUUAAUUGGUUGUAUUGGAUUUUAACACGUUGAUACAUAAAUCAAUCUAAUAACAUUGAAUUUUUAUUUUACAAUCCAAUCCAAUUCGAUUAAAGGUCAAUCCAACAAAAAUUAGAUCGAUUUAGAUUAAAUCAAUCGAAUGCCUAUUUAGCUCUUUUCAGUAGCACUUAUCGUCAUACUUUUCUUUUCUUCUUUUUCUUUUUUUUUUCCUCGAGGGGGGUACAAGAUAAAUCCAAACUUUAGAAGCUCCACUUCAAAAAAUCAGUUGCGUCACGACGCAUAAAACCAGCAAAAACUGUGAUACGAGUCGUUUGAUAACAAUCGACAAUCACAAUUAGGCAUUAGCCUUGUAAUAAAAUUUAUAUAAUUUUCUUAAAUUAAUUAUAUUAAUGUCUAUUUCAACGACAAGUACCUAACUUAGCGGUCAAGGACGGUCCGCCCGGAAUCUGCGGGCAUAAUUAACAAAAUAAAUUUGAAUAAAAAGCAUGGACCGUUCGUUUUCGACAUGGUUAUGAUUACAGGACUUGACUAGCUUACAGAAUCUGUAAGCUACAGACUGCUGCAUCAGCCGUUGGAUGUGGUUGGAUGUGGAGUGAGAAACUAAACAAUAGAAAAUCGGAUGGUGGGAUGACGGGAGAUGUUUGUUACAGAAUCUGUACCAUAGACAGGUCCCCAACAAACGUAUUUUCAAGCAUCUUAUUUUGACCUUCAACGCAUCCCAACAAAUAUUUGACACCACAUUCUCUGUUUUUAUUUCUUUAUUAAUUUCUCAUUUUUAAUUGUCAACCAAUGCCUAUUUUUUUCAGUAUGCUGAGCAAAUUGUCUUCUCUUUUUAUCGAAGGAUCAAACCAUCUUAUCCUGAGUAAGGAGCUGUAAUUUUAUCUAUCAAUGUGGGGCAUUAGACAAUCUUUAACACUUUAAUAGUUAGAGCAUUUGUUUAAUUUAGCUAUUUGGCAGAUUAUCCCCCAAAGUGUUUGAUAACUCUUGCAACUUAACUUUGGCAAGAUAAUUGAUUAUUUUUUCACAAUUAUUUACUGAAAAUGAGCUCUAAAAAUGAAAGUUACUUGACAUCUAAUAUUUUUUGGGAAAUUUACGAAAAUAAUCAUAAAAUUUUUGCUAUUUUUACAAUUAACCCUCUCAACUUUUUUCUAUCAACAUUAGCCAAACACACGCUUGUCUACCCAAAUUACCCUUCUUUACAAACCAAAAGCAACUUUCUUUCUCCCUUUCGUCAAACCAAAUGCAGCUUUCCACUCUUGAAUCAUCAACCAACGGCGACGGCAAAAGGCAACGAUAAAAAUGAAAUCCGAUCAUAAUCUAUCUGAAUCCAAUACUAAUCGGCAUCACAUAGUGAUAUGAGUUAUUUUCUGAACUUGCUCGAGAGUUUCAGUGAACUGCGAAUUGUUGGUGAAUUUAGCGACAUGCUGUCUGUCGCACAAAGCUUGGUGCGACAGGCACCAAAAAUGGAUAUCCCUUGCCUAUCGCACCAACACUUGGUGUGACAUGCACCAAAAAUGGAUAUCCCUUGCUGAAGUGUUGGAGGAAUGUGUUGGAUAUCCCUUGGUGAAGUUGCCAAGUAUCGUGUUCUUCCCAUGCAGCAGCCAAGUUAGAAACUGGGGCAAAUGGGGCCUUAACUCUCUAGUUUGGGAUUUAAUGUUUGAAGAAAAUUUCGAUUUAUUGCUGCAGCAGCAGCUAUAUAUUGCCAGGCUGCUAGCCAACUUAGAAUUACAGAGCUGUUUAGCUGAAAAUGAACUUCGGCAAACUGUUACUCUUGUUUCUGACCAUAGGCUUGGUUGAGUCAACCGGUGCUUUGAUGUUUGCCUUCGAUGGCUUCAACACUUCAAAACUGUUGCUUUAUGGCAACGCAAAACUGGAUUCUGGUGCCAUUUCACUCACCCAAGAUACCACCUUCUCCAUCGGAAGAGCUCUCUAUCAUGCUCUGGUCUUCAUCUUCGUGCCUUCCGCAGGCAUCCAAGGCGCUGCUGCAUCUCAAUAUCUCGGCUUCCUGAAUAGAACAAAUGAUGGUAAUAUGAACAACAAUGUUUUUGGCAUCGACAGGAAGAUCACUGCAGAGAGAGGGGUAUUUUAGUCUCAAAGGUCUUUUUAUGGCUAAUAUUGAUAGAAGUUUGUUUGGGGGGUUAAGAUGAAAAAAGUCAAAAUGUUUAUGGUUAUUGAUGUAAAUUUCCCAUAUUUUUUUACCAAACACUUGUCCCUUGAUAGCAAUCAAGAACUUUCAUUUCACAACACCUUGGUAACAAACAAAAGGAGCCUCAACUUUCUAAUGAAUCAACAUGUAAGUGUUUUAUUUAUUUAUUUCCAAUAAAGGAGCGUACAUUGAACAUUUGAACUCCUGAAAAAAAGCAUAUCAAGGAUCAAUAGAUUGGACAACUUGAAUGAAACAUCGGUAUUAAAUAUGUACAAAGGAAUGAAUUCUUGAGAAGGCAAAAGUAUACAAGACACCAAGUUAGAAGAGCAAAAAUAUACACCCUCUAGUCCUCUAACUAUUUGCAGCGUCUGUUUCUGUCAUGUAAGUUUCGAAGUACAAAGUAGUCGUCGAGAGUCCGAUGUAGAAAUCCAUGGCGCUCGCACAAGAAACACAUGACUCAAAACGGAAGAAAAAAUAAUAAUAACAAUAAAACAACACAACUUGCAUUGGUGAAAAUUUGCUUGUGAUCGACCCUUUAAUCUCCUAGCUACAACACUGUGUUUGGUGAUCGUCCAGAACUCUCCAAUACAAUUUCAAAUAAAUCAGCCUCAGACUCCUCAUCAAAUUCCUCUGUUCGAUUAUUAGCACCAGUGUUGUGACCGCCUUUGGUUGAGGAUCGGUUAAGCCAUUGAGAGUCAAUUCUUCCCAUAGAGAAGAGCUCUUUGCUGUCCUCAUAGCCUAGUGCUGCAGCAGGUGGGUUUGCAAGAGGGCCAAUGAAGCACGGGUUUGAUGUUCUUUGUGCAUUUGCUGGUGCAUAUGUGAAAGCACUUUGUCCAAAAUUGACAAGUAUCAAAACAUCAAUAUUUGCCGCUAUAGUUGGAUAGAGGGGAGUUUCAAAUUCCUCAGAUUUGCAAUUGAUCACGUGCACCAGCUCUGAAUCUACUGUGAAGAACACUUUCUUUUGCCUCGGAUCAAACCCACAACCAAUCACCCUUUCUGUUCUUCCCCAUUCUGCUUUCUCGGAUUCAAAAACAAGCUUAAUCCCUGAAAGAAAAAGAAAUCAUAUGAUUGAUCUUCAAAAAGAAUUUUUAUUAUUUUAUUUAUCCAUUUUGUUCUUUUGUGGCCACCACAUAGAAGUCACUUGAGCACUAAGAAUGCUAAAGAAGUCACUUCACCACUAAGAAUGCUGAAAUAAAACUGUUUAAAAAUUGAGUUAUACAGAUAAUAUAGCAAUAGUUUAUAUGACCCCUAACUAAAAAUUGGGUCAACAGCUUCAUACCUACUUUAACAUACAUUGAAGACAGGCUAAAUAAAAGGAUCUUUGCAAAUAAUAAAUCUCUAUUAUAAGCCAUGAUCAUGUCAUAUAGUGGGCCUUUUAUCAUUAUCUUUCACCAAUAUUGGGACCUUUUAGGUGGAAGAGAUUUAUUCAUUAGUGGGAUGCUACUGCUCGCUGGUACAGUGAAUAAUAUCGUAACUGUUGUAUAUGUUGUAACUCUAGCCAUGGAAAUUAAAAAUAUAUUAAUAAAUAAGGAAAAAGAUGAAAGAUUUUACCGUCCAGAUAGACAGAACCAUCAGAAUUGAAUCCGAUUGAUCCCGGAUAACUUCCGGGGAGUCUCAAAGGAAGGGAGCCACCGGGAGUGAGCCCCAAAGACAACAUUACAACUUCGCCCUUGCCAUCAUCUUUAGCAGCAGCAAGCUUCAAUUCUUCAACCUUGUUCACACUAUGACUGCUAGUAACAUGGACUAGAGAUUCGGAAUUCGCAUUUGCAUAAGAAUUUUCUUGGAUGAGUUUAGUCUUCUCGCCUUCUCUAGUCUUUCCAACUGAUUGAGAUUGACCAUCAUCGCGAGCAUACAGAAUGGUAAUUUCAAAAUAGGCCUCUUGAGGAAAAGCAGAGUUGCCCAGAGGCGGCCCAGGCAAAGGCAGGGCUGUUCUAAUCACGGCAGCAGCAGACAUAAAAGGGCUGCUUGUAUUAACCUUCUUUAGUCCUGAAUUGAGCCUAAUCUUUUGCAUAAAAUCUGCUGAUCCUUGGCACACGUCCCAGCUUAUAUCCGCUUGCGUUUCUCUUCCGUAAUCACCAACCGCGCAUAUUCCUAAUAGGCUUGAUCUAGUGGACGGAGAUGACAUGUAGGUCGUGAAACCAAAUCUAGACCAUCCAUUUUCGACAGCAUCUGUCACAAGUUCCGGAUGAUCAGCCCAGUUGAACAAUGGUUUGGCUGAAACUCCACGUCGGAAAACGUAGUAAUUUCCUCUCCUCUUGCUAUCUAAAUCAAGAUGAUUAUGCGGACUCGGACCGUUCUGUUGAUGAAGCUGCUGCGGAAUCCGAGUUUGAAGACUCUCGGGGGUUGUUUGGUUCGCGUCAACAAAAUCCUUACGGUGUCUGUUGCAACACCAUCGCCAAAUAAACACGAUCAAAAGCAUUAUAAGAACUCCUGCGGAAAACGCCACGAGUAUAACAUGAAGCAUCUCGUAUUUUAUGUGGGAUUCGGAGAAUAGUUCUGUAAGGAAAUGGGGCAAGAAUAUGGAGAGGCAUCCAAUUAAGAAGAAACAGAGGACAGGUCACAGGCCGACGCAGGCGUGGACUAGGACUGAUUCAAGAAAGGCAGGAGAGCAAAAUAUUGUGCAAGCUAACGCAGUAAACCCAAAAAAAUAAAAAAUAACGUGGGGUUAAUGUAUUAAUUUAAUUAAUUCUAAACCGAAAAUAUUUCCCACUUAAAAAAAUAACGCGUUCUUUGAUUCAUUAAAGCUUGUGUUUGUUUAUGUCGCUAUGCAGUCACAAGCACUUCUAGAAGGGCCACGUGGGCAAAUACUUAUGGUGGGCUGCCACACUUUUCUGAAUUGACUUGUCUGACAAAUGGAAUUUAUGGAGGAGACAACAUGGAGAUUGGUUAAAAGGUGACGUGAAUGAAACAAAGGAACAUCAACUUAUUGUAGUACGAGUUUGGGAAGUUUUUUGUCUGACUAACACAGUAAACAGUUAAUCCUAAAAAUGUUGUGACCUCUGCUAAUUAACAGUGGUGCUGUCUGUCUAAUGAUUCAAUUCUGUUUAAACGAUAAAAGAAAGCAAUGAACACCAAUCCCUCGUGAAAAAGUUCAUUAAAUUUGGGUAAUUGAAAAUAAUUUGUUUGAUUUGCCCUCCUUUCCAUGACUCCACAUGUACAUUCCAUAUAGAAAUUUUGUCUCAUUUGGAUUUUGGGCGACAGCAAAGGCUAACUGUGCCUAGAUACAUCGGAGGGGGCACGCGCCUAGUUUUGCCAAAACCAAUUUGGGGUGCAUGUGGGGAAAAGUAGACGUGGGGACUUCAAUUCUUGUGUUAUAGCCUUUCUUUAAUUCAUUUAUUUAUUUAUUUUACUUUUUGUAUGGUAUCCUUUGGUUUGCAUUUAGAGGCAUCUUGGUUUUAUUUAUUUGAUUGUAAACCUUUUAUGCCAUCAAAAUUUGGUUACAGAUAGAAUGAGUUCUAUCUUCUGUAUGGAAUAUUUCUGCUCGCUGCAGAGGUAAGUUGAUUAUGUACAGGAGCUAAAAGAUGAAAGAUUUUGUUUUAUAGCAUUUGGGCAAUGGCUUAAAACUCAAAUUUUAUUGUGAGCCAUAACUUCACAAGAGAAACCCCACCAUAUAUUGUACAUACUUGGUUUGCCUUAAGUCAUUAUCAUUCAUCCCCUGAAUCGAUUGGAAAACAUGAGAGCAAUCAUCAGAAUAGUUUAUAAUUAUCCUGUUUCGUAGUAGUUGAUGAAAGGUGAAUAUAAUAAUUCUGAGGAUAACUGCCAUAAUUCAAGGAGACAUCAUUAAAGGGAAACAAGAAAGUUAAAAAGACACUUGAUUUGCAAAACCCUUAAAAUUCUAUGAAAAAGAGAUCUUAUAGGGCUUUGCUAAGUUGAAAAUAAGAAGCAAAUUUUGCUUGCGCUUAGAAAAGGUAGAAGGAUCCUUGUUUUUGCCAAAUUUUUUGCAAUAAGAAAUUGAGUGACGAGACAUAUCACUCAAGAUUAUUAGUGAAGUCAAUUAACAAAAGGGUUUUUUAAUUUUGUCCUUCUAUUUCCCUCUCAUACUGGCAUUGAUGGACGUCUCUCUCUUUUUAUAAAGGAAAAAAUGAGAAAGUGAAAGAAUGGCAAAAAAGAAGAAAAGUUAGCAUGACGAUCAUAACCUGCAACAAAUAGCUUCUUCUUUUUUUCUUCCCGGGGAGUGUGGGGAGAAAUUAAUACGGGCACGGGGACAAAACCAUUUAAGUAGGAGCCCAUUCAUUUCACUUGUCUCUCUUGUUGCGGACAAGACUUCUCACAAGUAAUGAUUGGCUAUAGAGUUGCUUAAUUCUACUGGCAUGCUAAUCUGGGACUUGUGAAAAUGAAAAUUACAUUUGACAUAUUUCCAGACGUUGGAAUUGCAUCAGCGCAGAGUAUCAAGUAUCGGUUCGUGCGUGUUAUAACAGUGGAUGAGGAUAUUCUCACUGGUAUAGUGGAUGUCACAGCUUUAUUAAAAAAAAUGAAUUAUAAAAGUCCCCUGCUGCAAAAAUUAAGAUUCUAAUGAUCAGAUUUUUUAAGCUAUCAGAAAUUAAAUUGGAAGCCGAAUCUACAAGCUAAAAACUUCGAAAUCGGAGACAACCUCAAUUGAGUUAAGAUGAAGGAAAAGCAGAUAAAAUAAAAUUCAACUCACUUAAACACUGGUUUCAUGAAUGUACAAAGUCUUCUAACAGAGCAUGAAUUGUCAAUAAGUCUUCUAUAUGAAUGUACAGUGCUCACUUGUCCUCAAGUGUGUGAUUUUUGAGAAAUGGCAAGCAACCCCAUUGUCUUCUUUGCCAUCAUAUUCAAUUAUUCAUCUUGAUAACACACUUCCGUGUCUUGAAACUUUCCAUCCAUCUCUCUCAAAGCUUUUCAAUACUACAGUUAAAUGCCAUAUUGGGUACUGGUUUCGAAUUCUCAACUUGUGAUAGUAGGCCCAAAAGACACAUGUCUAAGCCCAUGUUGGACAAUGGCAGGUCCAUUAAGAUCGGAUAAGACCCCCCAACAAUCUAUCUCGGUAUCCCCUCUAUCUGAUUAAAUUCAAUUCGCGUCUUAAUAGCAAACAAGAACAAAGAAAUGAAAAAAUGAAGUGGCUCUGCAGCUCGCUCGACGCACGCCCUCUGAAACCCCUGGUUCGUUAUAACAAAAGUGACUUCCAUUUCUCCCAAUCCCUUGUACUUGAGAAACUCCCCACUCAUUUCAACACCAAACUCGCUCUCAAACCCUCGAAGUGUUGCAUCAAAGCCAGCUCAGCGUCGGCGUCCAUUGAUAUCGACAUGGUGAGAAACAAGCAAGGAAUCUACACGCAAAAACAGAACAACAAAGUGGUGGUUCUGUGGGACCUCGAUAACAAACCCCCGCGGGGCCCGCCUUACGACGCCGCCAUGUCGCUGAGACGAGUGGCGGAGAGGUUCGGGGAAGUCACGGACAUCUCGGCUUACGCCAACCGGCAUGCGUUCAUUCACCUGCCUCAGUGGGUCAUCCAGGAACGCCGCGAGCGCAAGCAAUUCGACAUUCUCGAGCGCAGAGGAGUGGCGGUUCCAAAUGAUCCGUACAUUUGCGGGGUGUGCGGACGCAAGUGUAAAACCAAUCUUGAUCUGAAGAAACACUUUAAGCAGUUACAUGAACGCGAGCGGCAAAAGAAGCUGAAUCGGAUGAAAUCCUUGAAGGGUAAAAAGAGGCAGAAGUACAAAGAGAGGUAUAUAAGUGGGAAUGACAAGUAUAACGAAGCUGCCCGGAGUUUGUUGAAGCCUAAAGUUGGUUACGGAUUGGGCUCGGAGUUGAGGAGAGCGGGGGUGUUUGUUAAGACUGUUAGGGAUAAACCACAGGCAGCUGAUUGGGCGUUGAAGAGACAAAUGCAGCAUUCCAUGAGUAGCGGGGUUGAUUGGAUGUUUUUGGUGUCGGAUGAUAAUGAUUUUAAGGAGAUGUUGAGGAAAGCGAGAGACGCCAAUUUAGGGACGGUUGUUGUAGGGGAUUCUAAUAGAGGAUUGGGGCAACAUGCCGAUUUGUGGGUGCCCUGGAUUGAGGUGGAGAAUGGGGAGUUAACUGAGAGGGAUUUGGUGCCUAGGACGAGGAGGACCACAACUGAGGACUUUGAGAGGGAUGGUCAUGGUUUAUUUUCACUUAUUGAGUUUGACGGGGUAGUUGGUUUCGAGGAUGAGACUGAUUUGGAUAGUGUGGUUAAUGAACUUGUUGCUGAAAGGACCGAGUUUGGUGGUGUAAGGAUUUCAAUGUUUUCUGAAGGGGAAGAGGAAGAGGAUUAUUGGGUGACUGAGGAGGCAGGCGGAGAUUAUUUGUUGGAGGGUGGGGAAUUGGAAGAGCAAGAUAGUUACUUUUGAUAUAAGCAAGUGUGCUUGGUUAUAGAAGGCUUCUUAUUGUUUUGGUUUCGUUUCGUUCUCUAACCUGGGAUUAGUUUUCAAACUAAGAUCGAUUAUGCAUUGAGAACACGGUUGGGGAAGUGAAUUUUUCUUGUUGAUGGUUUGGUUUCUCUUGAGGUUGGAUAAUUAUGAACGAUUUUAUCCAUUUGAUGGUCCAAAUCAUUGUGCAAUCAUGAACAGGUCGGUUUUGCUAUCAAACUCUGAAAGUUGAUGCUUUUUAGUCUUCAGACACACAAUGGGUAGAUAAUCUCCUCAUGUUUCCUCUUUUAGUGUAUAGUAUUCCUAUAUUUAAUUUGCAGUUGCUACUGAUGGGAAUAUUACAAUACUGUGAUUCAUCCGUCUGCAUUGCUGUUUCAACUGUCCUCAUAGUAAAUGCUUUAACAUGCCAUCUGAUUGUACUUGACUAGAUUAAAACUUUAUUGGUGGUAUAAGACAGCUCUUUAGUUCUUCUCCAAACUUUUGUCUUAUAAUCCUAUCUAUGUCGAAGAAACUUAUUAUGGUAUUCUAAAGUUUAUAUAUUUGCACAAAUUUUACCAUUGUAGUUUCCCUCAGAGUUUGUGCAUAUCUAGGUUAAUUGGGUGGAAUGCAUUUUACCUUGAUUGAAAACCUGUUCAUAUCAUUGUCGUCUAUUUGUUGUUGUACAUGCUUUUGGUUUUCAACGUUGUGGCUUUUUGAGAAAACGUGAAAAUGUUUUAACGGUCCUAUUAACCAGUAUCUCAGGGUGAUUCUUGGUGUGUCAAGGUGCAGUGGAUAAAUACAACUAAGUUUAUGGCAAGUUCUAAAGAUUUAGAAGAGCAAGACAUGAGAAGCAAUGACGAAGAUUAGGAACCAUCUGUAUUCUGAUUCAAGAUGGAUUUAAUUAUUUAUUUAAAAAUAAAAUAAAUUGUUUCUUGAGAGUACCAUGGUGUGUUGCUACUACCUGCUCUGAGAACAGUGGAGUUUAGCAUUAACUGUGAUUCUGGUAUCUGCAAUAAGACCAUCAUUAAGGAUUUGAUAUAUUAUUCUGCUCAGUAACCUAUGAGCAGUGGGAACCUAACUUAUGCCGAACUAAGAAUUAUCCAAUAAUAUGACUUUGGGUUAGCUUAAAGUUAGGGCUUGAAGACAUCAGCACACCUAUAAGUUUGAUUUUUAAAAUAAAAAAAUGUAGGUUCUAGUGUUGGUUGUCAUGAUAAUAUCGACAUCUUACCUUGACUUUGUAUAAGAGGGUAUUCAACAGUUCUGUAACUGUAAUAUCUUUGUGAAACAUGAGAUGACAGUAAUUUUAUGCUAAUUGAGUACUUUGGUUUAGUGGUGGUGGGGUACAAAACUACAUUGUUUAGUGAGGUGGUUAUUCCGAUGACAGAAUUAGUAGCUCUUGUGAACUUAUCCGGGGUAAUAAUUGUUGAUUAAUUACUCUGACUACUCUACCUAGUUUUUCCUCUUAAGAGUACAAAAUUAAGUGGAGGAGGAAUUCAAAUAGAGAAAGAAAUGUACUGCUUAUGAUGGAACAAUUGAAGAAAAAUCAUUGGCCAAUAGCAUUUGGAUAUCUAUUGUACGUUAAGUCAUUUGUCUGAAAGAGAAAAUUCAGUGUCAUAAACUGGGAUCAGGCUAAGGUUCCCCCCAUAAACUGUUGUAUUUUUCUUCUAGAUUGUUCAUUAAUCUACAUAUUAGAUUUGGCUUGUGCUGCAAAUGCUGUGUGAAACUUCUACUGUCUUCAAAGAAGUGUUAGUCGGCAGGUUUUGGGGUGGCUGAAUCCUCCUUCAGAAGCAUUAGUUCCAUGGAUUCAUGGUCCCUGGCCAGCAGAGGUCCUUUUCAGUCUAGUGGACUUUAGUGAUUCUGAUUGACAGUUUGGAGGUAAGGUUCAAUGACUUGAAUCUUAGCUUAGAUCUUUACCCAUAGGCAGGAACUGCCGCCACUCGUACUUCGUUUGGCUACUUGAAACAGUGAGUUUCAUCACAUCAUGUUGUAUGACUGGGAUGUCUUGCUGUGGGCAAAGCUUACGUUACAUUACCUGUAUGUUACAGCUAAAAAUUUUUAAACCCUUAGAAAAGAUAAUAAUUAUUGAAAAGGUUAAUAAUUUUUAUAGUUUUACUUUAUACCCUAAGCUGCAGCCCGGUAAUAGAACUGUUAGUCUUUUAAUUUUUUUUUAAGUUCUCCAUUUAUAUUUAUAGCAAAUUUAAUACUAAAUUACUCAAUUUUUUUUCUAUUUUAUUUAAUUGAAUCUCUAACUUGUUUAAUUUUAUAUCUAUUGAGUAUUUAUUGAUUAUAUUAAUGGUCUCUUAUUUUAAUAUAUCAUGAUAAUCAAUAUUGAAGCCUUUUAUGAAUUGUUUAAUUUUAUUAAAUUCUUUACUUAGUUGAUCUCUUAACUUAUUAAUUUAUUUUAUAUUUCCUUCAUUGAAAUUAUUAAUUUCUAAUAUUUUGUUUACCCUUUCUAUAUCAUUUAUAGAUUAAUUUGAGUUUUCUAAUUUAUUUAAUAAAUACAGUGAUAUUUAAUUUAAUUGAUUAUUUCUCCACAUGUUUGAAUCAUUGAUUAGAUCAAAUGGUUGAAAUCUUUCAUUAAAGGUUUUGGUAAUUUAUUCACUGUAACAUCUUUUUAAUAAUUCAUUAGAUUUAUAAUAUAUAUAUCACAUAUAAUAUCUCUUAUAAUUUAAGAUACUAAAUUUAGAUUAAAAAAUCUAUGUGACAUCACUGAUAGUAUGUAUUUAGGAUAAAAAAUAAAUUGAAUGUGUGUGUGUGUGUGUGUGUGUGUUUGUUAGAAGAAAAACCUAGUCUAUGUCUCAAGAGAGAAAAUAAAUUAUAAAUGUAGGUACAAAAAUUUAUUCAGAAUUUGUAAUUUUUAUGAAUAUAAUAAUAAUAAUUUAAAUCUUUAUAAAAAUAUAGUAAAAACUUUAUAAAGUUUUUAAAAUAAUUAUAGAAGAGAUGGAUGAGAAAACCAUUAAUUAUAAAAAAUUAAUGAGGACUUAUUUGAAAAAAUAAGUAAAUAUAUGAUUAGAAAUGAAAUUUUUGAUAAAUAACAAUUACACCUGUACUUUGUUUUAGGUUAAAAUUAUUUUUAUCCAUUAGAUUUAAGAAAUAUCAAAAUCAAUGAUCUAUAUUUAUUGAUUGUUUGUUACAUUAUUUGUAAGGUAAGCUUUGCCCUUGCUGUGACAUCAAUGGAGAAGUGGAGAAAUGAUAUAAUGACGGCAGUUCCUGUGUAUCUGGGAGAGAAAUUUGUGUAUGAUAAGUACUGUGGGUAAUGAUGACGAAUUUUGAAGUGGACCAUCUGAGGGAAAGACUAGUUUGUUCAGCUUUAAUGCGAUAACCCAGUAUUUUGUUACAAUUUUCAUGAUUUCCAUGAUAUUUGAAAAUUUUGUAAUGUUGGAGAAAGUAUUGGGCACGUUUGAAAUUGAAGUGCAUUAGUUUUUAAGUUAAAAUUAUUAUGAAAAAAAAAUUAUAAUUAUAAAAUAAAAGUUAAUAAUAUAUAAUAAAUUUAAAUUUUUCUGCUGUACGGCCAAGGCGGAUGUACGGUACAGCAGAUAAAUUUUAAAUAAUAAUUUUGAUAAAAUUAUUAGAGAUAUAAUAGAUUUUUUAUUAUAUAAAUAUUAACAUAAUUUUUAGUCGUUAGUGUUUAUUAAAUAUUUUAUUGUUGUAAUUUUUAAGUUACGGUUGUUCAACUUCAAUCACAAAUGCACCUUCAAACAUGUAACUAAGGUAGCGUUUGUUUUUUUGUCUAAAAUCAGAAUAUAUUUAAAUUAAUCUGAAUUCUGAAUAGAUCUGAAUGUCUGAAUCUGAAUAAUAUGUUUGUUUUUUUGUCUGAAUUUUAAAAAAUAAGUAUUAAAUUGUUUAUUUUUUUUCAACUUAAAAAGUUGAAAAUAUAUACUUUUACAUUUGUAUCCUUAUUGAAUUUAAAUGUCAAAUAAAUAAUAUAUUAAAUACCAUAAUAUUUUAAUAUUUAUAAAUAAAAUUAUAUUCAAGUGAAUACAUAAUUAUUUUAGAAUUUUAAUAUAUAAAAUACCAUAAAUUUCAAAUUUUAUCGUAUAUAAUAUAAGAAAGAAAAAUAAGGGUAUUUUUAUGUGGAUUAAAUAUUUAUGGGUGAGUUUUGGGAUAGAUAUGAAAAAUAAAUUAUAAAGUAAGAAUAUUUUUAACAUUAAUAAGUAAUUGACUUAAUUCAGAUUUUUUCAUUAAGUAAAAAGUUAAAAAAAUUAGUUUAUUUUAUUAAGUCAACAUUAUCUAAUAAGUCUUAUUAAAUUACAAAAAUAAAUACUUUUAAUUAAUUUAAUUAAUUAAGUUAAAUUAUUUUAAAUUAUUAAAUUAAAAAAUAAACGCACCUAAAUCUAUGAGGAAAAAAAAUAAAAAACCGUGUGAUGCGAUAAAUUGAUUGUAAUAAUAUCAUCAUGUGUUUGGGCUGUUCUUGCCAGCAGCAGGUGUUUAUUUUGUCAAAAACAUGGCGGGCGUAAGAUUACGACUUUUAUUAGGAACGAGUACGGCACUUUUUAUAUUGGGCAGAAAUAAAGUGAAGCCGUAAUUGUCAAAUUUUAUACACAAUUUUUUUCUUGCGUUUUGGUUUUUUUUUUUUUUUUUAAUAAGCCACUUAGGAUUAAUAAAAUCGUAGAAAAUGGUAUUAUUUAGAUUUUAAAAUAUCAGAUGAGCUGAAGAAUACAUUCCAAAGUUGAAAAGCCUCAGCGGCUGCGGCAAACGAUAGCGCCGCUAAAAAUUGUACGCCGACGCAGAAUCUUGCACUAGAUUUACAAUCUGCUACGAGAGAGUUGAGAUUGAGGCUGGAAUUUGUCCCAUUAAGAUUAAGUUCAAGUUGCGAAGCAGAACCCCUAGGAAGUAGGAAACCUGCGUAAACAUCUACCUGGAGUGAGUGAGUGAGUGAAAGAGAGAGAUUAAUAUUUAUAUAUAUACAUUAAAUUUUUUUAACUGUUGUCGGUAUUAUAUUGUAUUAUUGCCGACUGAAUCUCCAAGUUGGCCAGUUGAUCAUACUGUUGAUCAAACUUACUAUUCAAAAUUAUAAUAAUAAUCGCAAUCCUUUUGUUUUAUUUUUCGGUUUGGAGGGAGCAGGGGUGCUCUCAGAAUGCACCGUUCUUUUCAUUCACUAAUCAAUCAAUUAUUUGUCCACAUGAUAUGAUACCAUUGUAGUUCACUUCCUUACUUUAUGUAUUAUUGCAAGAACUAAACUCAAAGAAAAAUAAAUAUAUAAAUUUUAAUACUAACUACAUCGCAUUAAAAUAUGUCUUUUUAUUCUUUAAAUAAAAAAGGAUCUCUUAUUUAAAAAAUUAGUCAGAUACUAUCUAUCUAAUUUUAUUUAUGUUUAUUCGAUUACAAUUACGCUUUCAAAAAAAAAAAAAAAAUUGGUGCCGUUCUUAACAAUGACUCACGACUUCAAAAAUUCUAAAAGAAGUGAUUCAAAGAAAUUGAUCGUGGGGGAUUUUGUAUUCAAGCUUUUCCAAGAGGCUAAAGUCAAUAAUUAUCAAGCUUUAAUUUUAAUAAUUAUGUCAAUUAUCAAACCGAUCCCCACUAUGAAUUAGACACAUAUUCAAAAUGAUGUUCGUGGCGGAGGCACUAACAAUUGUUGAAUUGAAUGGUACAUGUGGUGCCACUCAAAAGUUUACAAUUAAUCAGGUGAUUAAGAAAGAGAACCAAAUGGGAAAAAAAAAAUACGAAGUAAUCAGGAUUCUAAUAAUUGCAAAAUUUGCUAUUUCCAGUCCACUACAUGGUAAGGUGAUUGCGUGGACGGAAAGAAAGUCACACUCAAAACCCCCCAUCCAUUCAUCCACCACCGACCCACCUCUCUCUUACCUCACCCUAACUUUGGUUCCACUUGUCAACAAACCAAACUCAUCGCUAUCAAUCUCAUCCAUCCAAACAAAUCAAACUAAAUCAACUAACUAUUAUCCUAUUUCUCAAGUUUGACAGACCAAACCCAGGAUUUAAAAAAAAAGAAAAAAAAAAAAAACAGUCUUCUUAUUAAAAAUAAAAGAGGUUAAUUAAUUCUCCUUUCGUUGGCGUACUUGGACGUGUUACCAUCCACGUCGGCACUCACAUGCCCUCCAGCCGCUGUGUCUGUUCGUAUCAAAACAUUGUGCUACAAAAAUUCCUUUUUUUAAAAAAAAAAACUAUAUAUAUAUAUAUAUUUACACGGGUAUAUAUCUACCAUAAAACAACGCUGUUUUAUUAUUUGUUAUGGUGAUUACCUACCUCCAACCCUUAUGUGGAAGAAUUUUACUCUCAAGAUUUGUAUUACUAAUCUGCUUCAUUACUCUGAUUUUAUGAUAUAAUAUUAUCUAAAAUUUGAGAUGGUCAAUUAAAGUAUGUACUAAAUAGCCUUUUUAUGGAUAAAAAUUUCCCAUAAGAGCAUAAUAGUUUUAAAUUAUUAAUUUUAAAUUUUUAUUAUGUUACAUAAUCAUAUAACAUACAUAAUUAUGUAAGCGCCGUUGAAUUUUUAUUUAAUAAUUAUAAAAAUAACAUAAAUUUAUUAUUUAAUAUUUUUAUAACCAUUGAAUAAAAAUCCUAACAUAACAAUCUCUCAUUUUAUGAUUUGGAGCAGCUGAUGGAUUGUGUCGGCCAAAUUUGGAUUUAUCUUAAAGGAAGAUCAACGUGGCGGCGUGCUCAGACGACAGACAAGCUAGCAGCCAAGUGGGAAGCUAAUGCUUCUUCGCCUCUUUUCCUUCUUUUUCUAUAUAAUUUAAUUUAAUUAUAUGUAUAUAAUAAGCAUCCUCACAGCUAUAUCAUGUAUCAUAUGAAUUCACAUAUAUAAGUGACUUGUACAGCAUCUGCGGCAAUAAAAGUGGAGUCGUCUUAAUUAUUUUUGGGUUGGGCAUCGGUAUGUGUCCCUCAGAACUCACAACAAGAAGAAAACUUUGAUUAAUUAUCUACGAAAACGACAUGGAAGGAGGCGGGUGCUGCAGCACUUCGACUUCAACGAAAAGCCCAGAGAAGCGGAAGCCAAGGCAGCAGCGGCAACACCAACAGCAGCAGGAAAAGCCGUACAAGGGGAUAAGGAUGAGGAAGUGGGGGAAGUGGGUCGCUGAAAUUAGAGAGCCUAACAAGAGAUCCAGAAUCUGGCUUGGUUCUUACACCACGCCUAUAGCCGCCGCACGUGCCUACGACACGGCCGUCUUCUAUCUCCGGGGCCCUUCCGCUCGUCUUAACUUCCCCGAAUUGAUUUUCCAAGAAGACGAUCUUCGAGACGUUUCUGCCGCUUCAAUACGCAAGAAAGCUACCGAAGUUGGCGCUAAGGUCGACGCUUUACAAGCUGCUCUCCAUGCUGGUAAUUCAGAAUCUGAAUCCAAUACCAAUUCCAAUUCCAAUUCCAAUUCUAUUCGAUUGUCCGAGAAGCCUGAUUUAAACAAGUUUCCAGAGAGUUCUGAUGAAGAUUGAUAACACAAAAUACUUGCAAGCUCACAAUUACCUACCCUAGCCUUUCCACGUUUACGUACUGUUUUAUUCCCAUCAUCAGUUUCAACUUUGAAAACGUACGGAAUCACAAGGAUUCUGUUUCAUAUAUUUAUAUUAUAUAUAGGUCGAUCUUCUUACUUAGUAUGUAACACGUACGGCUGUUAUUUAGUUGAUUAGUUAUGGUCUUAAUUUUUUAGUAAACUUAAUUGUUCGUUUUUCGUGUUUUUCCUUUUUUCUAAAGAAAAAUUUAUUUAUGAAUGAACAUGUAAUAAAGCCUGGGAAAAUUAUUGAAUGAAAUAGGAGGAGGGAACUGAGAUGAAUGAUCAAGAAUUUUGUAUUGGUCUUACUCAUAGUUUUGUUUUGGCUGCCAAACCCGGAAAAAGAAAGAAAAAGAUUGUAGAUAUAAAGAUAGGGCUAGCAAUAGUGACGUUGCUUAUGAGCCCCUAUGACUUGCGCUGUGGCCUUGUGCUGAUCCUCACUCCUGAUGAUCGAUAAGCCUAAAUUGUCACCCUCGCGAAUAUGGUGGGAGCUUACGUGAACGGUCGCUUCCUGGAGGUUGAUGGGUGAUCAAAUGUGGGCGGUGAGUGUUUCUUCUGUUUCUUCAUUUAGUUUUCAAUUAAUUAUAUCAAAGUAUAUAUAUAUAUAUAUAUAUAUAUAUGGUUAUUUUUAUCAGUUUUGCUAGUCAAAAUAUUUUAAGCAAGGCUUCUUCACCUGUUAUCUGUUUGGGGACCGACUAUGUAAAACAUGUUAAUUUAUUAUCAUUUUUCUUUUUCCGUUUCUUUGCAUGCGGCCGUUUGCUUGCAAUUUGUAGGGACCAAAAAAAAAAAAAAAAAUGUAGCUGCCCAACUGUCCUCCAAUUAAAAAAAAAAAAGAGAGAGAGAGAGAGAGAGAGAGAGAGAGAGAAUUGACCUAAUUACUUGUUUGAUUUAUAAAUUAUCAGCCAACGAUGUUAAUGGAUCUUCCGGUCCUACUCGAUGUAUCUGUCUUGAAGAUUUGAUUAGCUACUUGCCAGUAGCUUAUGGAUGUGUUCGGUUGGCUAUUGUGAUCUUUUGUUUAACUAGAUUGCAAAUAAUUGUGCAAGCUCCGGCUUGGCUCUUCCAAGUGAAACUACUACUUUUUCAAUUUUUUAAAUAUUGAGGCCAUAUGUGCAUAUACAUAAGAUCCUUUAGACUUCAUUUUGUAUUAAUUAUAUAAUUAAAUUAUUCAUCUUUCGACCAAAAUAAAUGUAUAAAGCAAACGGAAACAAUGUAUUAAGAAUUAUGAUAUACGAAUGGAACCAGCAACACUAAAGUUUUACUUACAUAUUUUUUACAUUUUCACAUCACAACUCAUUAAUGUGAAAAGCUUUUCUUUUUCUUGUUUGGUAUAAUAUCGUAUGAUGAAUAAUGUAUAAACAGUUUUGAGGAGUAUUCUCUUUCUAAUAUAAGAUUUUCCUCAUCGAAAUUUAAAUUCCUCUUUUAAUAAAUCUUACUCAUAUAUUUUUGAACUCAAAAUUUUUAAUAUCUCAUCAUAACUCAAAUCAUAAGAAAAUUCUUAUUCCUUUAAAUUUUUAAGACACAAUAAGAUCAUUUUUAUCUCAAACUUGAAAGUACAAUUAAGACUAUUUUCUAGAACGUACAUGUGAUUGAUUACUGAAGGUGUUGAAUUUUUUUUACCUUCACACGUAUUUGUAGUUUGUGGAGAACUUGUCACGAUCAUUGACCUGGAAUCUGACGAGGUGAGUACCUGAAAAAGGCACUUUGACGUCCAAUUUAGUGUUUAAUCAAGAUUAAAGAAUGAAGAAAGAUGGAGAAUGUGAGUUUCUCUCUCUAAGUUUGAAUAAUACUUUUGGAGGUCAAAAACCAUUUUCUCUUAGAGACGAGUCUCUAUUUAUAGAUGAUAAGUGAUGUGGAUUUAGGAUUUUACUUUGAACCCUCAACCUAAUAACAUGUGUCCCUCGCCGUUUUUGUACUCGUGGAAGUAAAUUUGGUCGUAGGAAAUUAUUCCACAUGUGCAUAUUUUCCUGUCAUUAUAACCUUUGGCCGUAAUUUCCCUAGACCAAUGGGUUGAGGAAAUAAUUCCUCCUCUUACAUCUUUAUGAGCUACGAAAGAAUUUUUUUCUUGGAUACUAUUCCCCCAGAAUAGUUGGAGUGUUAUCACUCUAGAAUAGCUUCUUUUAUCUUAAAAGAUAGACAAAUGGCAUUGUUUGGUGCCUUUGAAAUAUGGCACUUACACUACUCCCUCCGCAAGUGUAUUUUCUUUAGAAAAUACUUUGAUUGACAUACGAAGUUCUGACUUUUGUUUUAUUGAGCACGUGGCCUUUUUGAAGAACUAUGCCUUGGGCGUUUGAAUAUAUUUUGAGAGGAAUAUAUUAAUGAACUUUUCUUUUUGUUGAUUUAGGAAAAAGGUGAACUAUUUCCUCUGAACUCAAGUUCCUAUAUGAAAUGUUAACUCUUUGAAUUUUUCCUCUAAACUGAAGUUUUAGAAGGAAAUGAUAGUUUUUCUUUGAGAUUUUCCCUUUAACCGAAGUUCCAGGAGGAAUUGUGAUUGUUCUUUAAAUUAAUGUAAUCAAAUCCACUAAAUUUUCCCUUUGAACUGAAGCUUCAAGAGGAAAUGUCAGUUUCCUCGAUUUUUUUUUUCUAGCCAUUCUAGUUAGUUCAGAAAUGGUUUAUGAUUGUUCUCCCCACAGACGGUGCCAAUGAAGGUGUUGGAUUUUUUUACCUUCACACAUAUUUGUAGUUUGUAAAGAAUUUGUCAUGAUUGUUGGCCUCGAAUCCGACGGGGUGAGUAUAUGAAAAAGGCAUUCCAAUGCCCAAAUUAGUGCUUAAUCAAGAUUAAAUAAAGAAGAAAGAUGGAGAAGAUAGGUUUCUCUCUCUACGAAUGAACAGUGCUUUUGGAGGCUAAAGACUCUUUUCUCUUAGAGAUGAGUCUUUAUUUAUAGAUGAUGAGUGAUGUGAAUUUAGAGUUUUGCUUUGAACCCUCAAUCUAAUAACAUGUGUCACCCGUCAUUUAUGUACACGUGGAAGUGAAUUUGAUCAUAGGAAAUUAUUCCACAUGUGUGUAUUUUAAUGUCAUUUUAACCUUUGAGCGUGAUUUUCCUAGACCAAUGGAUUGAGAAAAUAAUUCCCUCUCUUGCCAUCUUAUGAGCUCCAAAAGAAUUUUUUCUCAAGUGUUAUUCUCCCGGAAUAGCUGGAAUGUUAUUGCCUUGAAAUAUCUUUUUUUAUCUAAAAAGAUAGACACGUGGCAUUUUUUGGUGCCUUUGAAAUAUGGCAUCUACAAUUACGUAGAAAUUAAACAAACAAAAUUUCAACUAAACCUUUGCAGAGAAAGUCAAAGCCGCAUCAUGUAGCUUAAUCUCUCUCUUAAUUGGAAAGAAAACAGAUAAUUAUGGAUCGUAUAGAUCAGUUACAGAAGGAAAGAACUUAUAACCCAGUUCUAAAAAUAUCAAUAGUACCAGAGAAAGUACGUACUUUUUCCAAUUUAGCCCGCCAUAAUGAUUUAUUACUCUCGUUUUACAUACUCAAAACAAUUAAUUUCUGAUUAAAUGCAAAUUGAAACUCUAAUAAUAUACAAGCCAACUGGUUGUCGCAACUAUUAGGUUGUCAACUUCGGACUAAGCUAGCUUAGGUCGGUUUAAUUGGUAUUAUGGUGCCGACAGUAAAGUAGCUCGGGUAGUGCUAAGUUACAUAAUUUGUAACUUAUACAGCAAACUCAGGUACAGUUAUUUAUGAUCUCGCAAUCGUUUCACUUUCAUAUGUUGUCAUUUUUUUAAGUUGGAUGACUGCUUUUUAGUUGCUGCAAUAUCAGUCUUUUAUUUAACAAUUGUAGUACAAAAUUACUUUAACUUCUACGCCAUAGUCAUGCUAGAGCAGCUAAACAAAAAACACCAAAGGGAGCCUUAAAUUAUUAUAUGCACUAACGGCAUCUUUCUCCAUCCACUUUAAUGCCGAAUACAAGAGGAUUUUUCUUAUGAAUUUUAUUAAAAAAUAAUGCUAGAUUUCAUAAAUAAAUAAUAUAUAUCCCAGAAGAUUGAGACCAAACCAUGUUGCUGCUGAUUUGUGACUCCCACAUUCUUUAAGUUACUAAGUUUUAUUAAUAAAUUAAGUUAUGCGAUAAUUACAAAUCAACUUGAGAUAUUAUUUGACUCAUUUCUUCAAUGAUGUGAGGUAGUAGUUAUAUAUAUAUAUAUAUUUAAUAGAUCAAAUAAUAAAAUAUAGAAUUCAUUCAGAAAUUAUAUGUUCUAUUGCCCACAUAAUUAUAAGAUUGACUCUUCAAAGCGCCAACAACUCUCCACUAGGGAUGGCAAUGGGUACUGUCCACAGUGGGUUUGUCAUUACCAAACACAAAUUCGCACAAAAUUUAAAUUACCAAACUCAUCCGCAACCUGCAGCAGGUUUUAAUUUUUUUUAAAAAAUCCACCCGCUGUGGGUUUUGACAGUUACCAAACCCGCAAUGGUAUCCGUCGGAUUUUUUGUGGAUUUGUACAUUUAAAAUCACAAAUGUUCAAUAUAUAAAUUUACAAUAAUAACUUCAAAUUUCACAUAACAUACUCAAUUAAAUUUAACCAAUGUAAAUAAAAAAUUAAAAUUUCAACAUCAAUCCAGCAUAAAUUCUCAAAUUUAAGUGUAAAAUACACAAAUCCAUUAAAAAAAAUUAAAAACUAGAAUCUAAAAAUAUCAAUUACAUUUCAUAUUAUCAUUCAACACAAAUUCCAAGAAAAGAUCUUCAUUUUAUUCACCACCAUUAGCACCCAUCCAAUAUGAUGCCUACAAUAAUGAUUUAGAUUAAUAUUUUCCAAAGAAUAAUACUUUUCAAAUAUUAAUCUGAAGAAAAAAAUUAUAAUAAUGAAAUAAUUCACGCAUUAAGUUAAAGAAAAAUAGUCCAUAAAAACUUAUAAUAAGUAUAUAAUAAUUCAUGAAUUAAGUUAAAUAAACUUAGUUCCUUAUCUCAUCAACAAUAUAUUCAUUUUUAGAGAAUUUUCUAUUUCCUACUUUAUUAGAAGAUUAUGCAUCUACAAGUAAUAACUAUAUCAAGAAAAAAGAUAGAUGAUUAUAAGUUUGUAAUAUAUAACAUAUAUUCUAUUGUAUUGAAGUAAAAAUACAUUUUCAUACCAUUAAAUUCAGCACACAACUAAUUUUGAGCACACAGUAAAGCCUCCAACGUCUUUGGAUGAAGUCUAUUACGAUGUUAUUUGGCACUUUGCAUAAUUAUAUUAUUUUCUUUGUAUAUUUUUUAGAUUUAAAUAUUUUUCAAUUAAAAAUAUUUAAAUAAAUAUUGCGGGUCUAACGGAUAUCCGCCGAAUAUUAGACUAAUACCAAACUUACCCACAUUCAAGUGCGGGUUUCAAUUUGUAAUAUCAAAUCCGCCCGCAACUCGUAAAAUUAUCCAUAACGAACGAGUUUUGAUAGGCGGAUUUGGGCAAGUUUGCUGAUUUGCGGGCACAAUUGCCAUCUCUACUCUCCACUCAGGAAGCAUUAUGGGAGUGCACAAAACGACCAAUUGGAUUAAUUGGGCUACAAGAUCACGAUUCGUUCAUUGGGGUCCAACACGAAGCCCAAGCCUACUUUUGACAUGUGGACCAGCCCAAAACGCCAAACUUCUUUUUAUUUUCUCUGGAAGAAUAGUACAUAUUCUUUUAUUUUCUUUUCCUUUUUUGGGGGGAAAUAAAGGUCAGCAGUGGCAAGGAUAGUAAAACUAGGUCUAAACAUACAGAGAGAAAAUAAACAGAUUGAUUUUCAUUUUUUCUCUUUGAAAUGAGUUAUAGAGGUAAUGUAAUCGGUAAAGGCUUUGAUUCCAGAAGUAAUAAAGGUCUUUAUAAAGUAAUUGAUUUUUAUCCCUUCUAAAGGUAGCAUUUGGUAUUCAUCUUAAUUUAUCUGAUUCAUAUAUAUGGCUUUGCAAGACCUUUAUAAAGGCUUGAGAUUUGUUCAAUCAAUCAAAGAAUGAUUAAAAAUCCUCAAAAAGUGGAUUCAAAUUACUCUCUUAAAAAAUAUACCCCCUCUCAGACACAAAUACAGGCAAAUAUAUACAUUAAAAAAUUCAAAUGCCGGUAUCCCAUUUUUAUAGACCACGAACUCAUGACGUAAACAAUUAUUAAAAUACAGGGAAAAAAAUAACAAAAUUUUUUUCUUUUAAAUAUUUUUAUGUCUUUUUAUUUUAUUUUAUAAUAAUUGUGUUUGUUUAAGAAUUGGACCAAUUUAUGUCUGCAAGAGAAAGGAGAUGUAAAAGAACUUUCUGAGUUAAGAAAAUUGGACCAACAACCCAAAUAUCUACCGUCAGAUGAUAAGCGUCGCCCUCACGCAUGCGAUAUCUUUUGGCGGGAAGUUGAAUGCUUGAGCUGGUGGCAUAUAACAUAAUGUAGUGAAUAGACGUGGGCAUUUUGGCUCCCGGAUCAAUGAAAAUGGUGGAUGAUUUUAACGCACUACACAAAAAGGACGAUUGAUUUAUGCUUUAUGGAAUGCCAAUUCUAAUGUUGAGGAGAAGAAGACGACGAUAAAAGAGAUGUUAGACUUUAAGAGGAGUCAAGAUAUGAUUUAACUCUUCGAGUUUGUGCAAGCACCACAAGGAGGUUAAAAUAUUAACAUGGGAGAAAAAUAUUGGGAAAAAAAAAAAAAGCUAAAGAAGAAGUAUAAAGAAAUAUUAACAUGGGAGAAAAAUAUUGGGACCACAAGGAGGUUAAAAUAUUAACAUGGGAGAAAAAUAUUGGGAAAAAAAAAAAAAGCUAAAGAAGAAGUAUAAAGACACAGAGAGAGAAAGAAAAAAUGAAAAAAAGUUUAGUAAAUAGUGAAGGAUCUUUCAGUGCCAUCAAUUCAAUUAAAUGUGUUUGGACUGUCAUCCAUUUACUCUUAGAGCAAAAUCGCUUUCCCUGCACAUUUGCAGCCACUUUUGCUUACAAGACAGGACAAUUUUCUCACCAUGCGAUCAUGCUCCCCGUCUAUUCUUUUUCCUUUUCUUCCCUCUUUCUCGAGAGAAAAAGGAAAAGGAGGUUUAAAAAGCAAAGAGAAUUACACUGUAGAACCAUAAAGUCAUGAGCUAAGUGUUCAUAAAGAUGCCCCAUCUAAAUCUAAUUGCGAAUAUAUUUCAAUCAAAACAAUGAUGCCUACCCGCAUUCACUUUAUUUUUGGAGAUUAAAGGCUCAGUAACUAUAGCAUCAACAAUCACUUUCUAUCAAUUUCCAAACUAAAAAGGUUUCCAAGCAAAACGAAAAACUAGAGUAUAGAAAUAUAAAGUAGCCAUUAGCAAAAGUGGGUGAAGAUGACCCUUCUUCAUCUAUGAUAUCUAUUAAUUAUAUUUAUGAUUCUUUUAAGUAAUGAUAUUUGAUGCGUGGCAAUAGCCAAAUGUCAUAACCGACAUGUUAGCAAAUGGUCCAACCCCUAGCUAGAUGAAGUCGAAACUUCAAACACAAAAUUUAUUUGCAUUUAUUGGUAAGAGAUUUCAUUUUGCUUGGCAAUCGAUGAAGUCUCUGCAUAUUGAUUCCUGCAAUAACUUAGAACGGUUUAAGCCUACAGGCUCUAAAGGCCAAGGGAAACAUUAUUUUGGCCGCUUAAUCUACACAAAUUAGUUUUGAAUAUGUAAGAGCUAACAGUUCAAAUUGACACGGUGUUAUGAAAACUUUUAGGUAUAUAUCAUAAUAAGACAUUCCAUUUUAUAAUUUAUACUGAUAAAAAAGAAUAGUCCCAAGGUUUUGGCUGAGUUCCGUUUAAGGUUUUUUUUUUUUUUAAAUAAAUUUUUGCCGACCACAUAUAUUUGAAUCUUCGGGAAGAAAAGGGCCAAAAAAAAAAAAAAAUUUGAACUUUGUCUAUUUCUUUUUUUAUUUUUCAAUAUUAUAUUCAAUUAAAAUUCAAUACAACUCAACCCAUUUAAACAUACAAUCAACCUAAUAUAGUAAGAAUGAACAAAAUGUCAAAUAUCCCGUCUGCGUAAAAAUAUAUAGUACUCCUUUAAAACCCUAACAACAUAGGAACAGAUAACUAAUUUGUGUUUAAUUUAAAGCGCAGAAUCUCCCCAUGAACAAAUUAAUAUAUUUACACUGAAAUUGGAUCAACUAAGUGGAUUUACACCAAUUAAAACGUACUAGUAACCUUUCUUAAUUAGUUGGAAAUACAAGUCAAUGAAGUCUGAGCCCUCUUUCAAUCUCUAAAGAGUCGAGGAUAUUGAAGAUGUGCAUGCAUGUUAAUUGUUAAGGUUUAAAAGCUACAUGUCGUUUUGUUAAUGUAUAAUGAUAGUGGUACUGCUAAUCAUGGACUGAUGGACUGGUGGUGUGGUCCAUUGACACGUGCAAAUGAUGACAAUGUCGUCCCUAAUGAUGGAUUCCCACCGUUUCUUCCACUGUGUGGGUUCCACUCCUAUCAUGCAAAGUCACCUUUAUCUUUGACCGAAGGAAAAAAGAAUAAAAAUUACCCAUUUUCACUUUCAUAUCUUAAACCAGCGAAAUUUGCUUCAAUUUUUCAUGCAUAUGUUCAUCUCCAUAAAUAGAGCCAAAUCAUGCUUUAACAAGUGUCCAACUUACAGUCAUGGUUUCAACGUUGGCUUUUCCUAACCAGCGACGUGGCAUUUCAUGAUCGGUCAGUCAUCAUUCAGUCUCUCCAACUACUUCAGUCUCUUCAUGUUGAGUGGCUGUGAUUCAAUGUAGAAUUCUGGACGAGCACCUGAAUUUUGCAGCUGUUUUUGUUGAAUGAUCAUAGCUGCAGGACCCACUUACAUUUUCUUGUAACUUAUCGAUUGAUCAUCACUCAUAUCAGAAGGAUAAACAAACCAUUCGAUGCUUAAUUGACAUCAUCUUAGAUUCGGUUCGUGGGCGCUCAUCACUUUAUCUUAGAACAAUAAUUAAUGUGACAUGAUUUAAUAAUAAAUAAUUGAGACAACUGUCCCAACACCAGCAAUCGGAAAUCCCGAUGGUUCUCGAUCGAAUAUAUACUUCUUUUACUGAGUGUUUCUAGUUAACUGCAGGGGGUUCAUUUGUAGUUGCAGCUAGCUAUUCCAUAAUCAGCUGCUUUCAUAGCUGUGGACCGGAAGUAGUUAACAGAUAAAAGGGGUGAUGUGCAUGAUUGCGCCAAUUCAUUGGAUAAGUAACUGGAAACAAAUUAAAUUAACUUAGGUUAGGUGCGAAAUAAUGAGUGCCUACGCAAAUAGGAAUGAGAGAUUAUCAUUGAUUUAGGAAAAUUUGUCGUGAUUGAAGGUGUAAUCAGUUGUGGGAUUUGCUUACGUGAGGCCAAGAACAUGGAUUCAAGCACAUAAUCUUAGUUGUCAAAAUUGAUAUCAUUAUCCCACACAUUGUCUUCAAGCUAGAAUGACACCUGGCCAAUAGGAUUUGAACUUGAACGGCUCACUUUUUUGAAAUAAUCUCUCCCUUUCGAGGGAAUAGCUAGGGUUUUUUUUUUUUUUUUUCACCAUGCAAUGCAACCGUUUUACUUGGCACGUAUAUGCUGCUACCGUAACUGUAGAAUAGUAAAAUUCCUUGUUAAAGAAGCAAUGAUUGACAGGUAUCGUAUCUAUACAGUGUUGAAAGUAUAAUGAUCAAAGAAAUGGAUUCAUCGAAUGAGACAUUUCUUGUACAAGGUAUAAAGUUAAAAGGAUAAGGUGAAGAGCGAGUCCAAAUGAGUCCAAGUAAUCACGAUAAGGUAAAUCCCAUGACGAGUUAAGAAUGAGCUGUUCAGCAAAUAAACAUGGCAACUUUGUCAAUGUCAAGAUCCUCAUUCUACUGCAUUACCAGUCUUUGGUCGGAAGAGAAGGAGAAAAAUGUCACAUCAAGCCAGCGACCAAAUCUCUAAAGCUUGAAUUCUUGUACAAUAUAUAUCUAAGGAAAGAUAUAAUAUCAGAUGCAUGAAAGUUUCACCAUAGCGGUGGGAUGCUGUUAGAAUUUGUAGCUACAUUCACAUUUAGAAUGUUUUCUAAUUAUGACUUCGGGCGGAAUUACUCUUACUGGCCUAUUUUCCUUCUGCACUAUUCGCCGAACGUGCGAUCGAGAGUUAAAAACCCUGACAUAUAAUAAUUGAUGUUACGAAGAAGAAGUUACAGUUAGCAACUGCAGAUGUUUGUAUAAUUGAAGCACAUGCGUUUGUUUUUUAUGUUUCACUUCAUGUGCCCCAAUCACACGUGCUAAUGUGCAAUCACUCAAACGACUGUCCGUGAUUGCAGUCAUCAGUCCCCCACUUUGAAUGAUUCCAAAUUUAUUCAAAACUCAUCAUACAAAUUGGAACAUGGAAUCAUUACUUACUCACACACACGUAAAAUUUAUACGUUUGCUUAACAUAUUACAUAAUUUGAGUUGCAAUGUGUACGUACGGUGGCAUGUUAGGUACAAGACCCAAGAUAUUAGUAAUUUCUUUAAUUAUAAAUAAAAACUGAGGGAACGAAAAGAAAGAAAAGUGGGAUUUGGAAAUUUUUGAGUUUAGGAAUAAAUUGGAGCUACAGUUUCCAAAGAAGAGGAUUGUGAUUGCGGAUAUGGCAUGCACCCAAAGUAGAUUUUGUUCAAAUGUGUGUGGUUUUUUCAACAUUCUCUACCAAUUAAAGACGACGGCUUUCACUACUUUCUCUAAUAAAUAUCCGUAUCCAGAAAAGCAAAGAGUUGCAUUUUCAAGUGUUGGGAUUGGAGUAAUCCUUUUUUAUUCCUCUCCCUCUCCUCACUUUAUGAAAAAUAAAAAUAAAAACAAAAAUAAAGUUUGAGAGAGAGCACCGAAAAGCAUAGACACCUUAUCAUGAAAGCAAGAAAAAAACGACCCGAUUAGACGGGGCCAGCCCACACGCAUAUACAUGUAACACAAUCACUCACUCACUCACACAACCACACGCUCAUUUACAAUUGUGAAAUUAUUUCUAAUUCUACUGCUUUCAUCAUCGCUCACUCUCUAUAAUUACGUGUCUCUUUACUUUUCACCUUUUUCUUUAUCACUCAUCUAAAGUUAAUUAAAUGGAAAUUAAAACUCAAGUCAACCUCUCCUCAUCAUUUGGUCUUGGUUCUUUUAAGCACCACCUCAUGUCCACUUUCUUCACUUUUAACUCUCAUUCAUCUGGCUAUAUAAUAAGCGCACUCUCUCUAGCAUUCAACCCUCCACCAUGGGAAGCAUGAAGGUUCAUCAAUUGGCACGUGGAUUCUGGGAGCAUGCAGAGCCCUCUCUCACGCUUGGCUGUAAACGGUUACGCCCUCUUGCUCCCAAGCUCCCCAACGCAGAAAGUACUAGUGUCUCUUCUUUCGAUCUCAAGAGCUUCAUUAGACCCGAAAGUGGUCCUAGAAAACUUGUGUCUUCUGACGAGAAGAGAAAUCCCCCUCAGGUUGUCUGUCACUCACUCUAAAUAUCUUAAAUUAACCAUACAUUGUUAGCUGUAAUAAUGGUGGUUAAUAAAUUAAUUUAUAAAGUAGAUAUAAAUUUGAUGAUGCAUGCAGGUGGAGACGCAUCCGGGAGGCACAAGGUGGAAUCCAACGCAGGAGCAGAUAGGGAUACUGGAGAUGCUGUACAGGGGAGGAAUGCGAACACCGAAUGCCCAACAAAUAGAACAAAUCACAGCGCAGCUGGGCAAGUAUGGGAAGAUAGAAGGAAAGAACGUGUUCUACUGGUUUCAAAACCACAAAGCACGCGAGAGACAAAAGCAGAAGCGCAACAGUCUUGGUCUUAGCCAUUGUCCGAGAACCCCAGCAGCCACCGCAAGUUUUACCACCACCAUAUCUCUGGACUCUAGGGUAUAUACAUGUACCAUUAUUAGUUUCAAAUAUAUACGUUUAUUGAAUAAAACCAUAAAUUAUCUAAAUUUGAUAUAUAGGAAAGAGAGGAAGAGUCUAGCCCAUACAAGAGGAAGUGCAUGAACUGGACAUUUGAAUGCUUGGAAGAAGAAAGCAGGUCGUGCAAAGAGGAUCAAGGAGAUAGAACUCUGGAGCUCUUCCCUUUGCACCCGGAAGGCAGAUGAAGGGGGUUUGAUGAGUAAUUAAUUGAGAAAAAUUAAACUUUCGUUGAACUUUGUUCCAUUAUUAAUUUUGUGAUGGUGCUAGCUACAGCUAGCUAGCUACUUUGAUGUGCUUUUCUUUCUUUCUUUUGUAUGGGGGAAGAAGAAAGACAAGUUGUCUCUUUGUAGUACUAUCUCUAUCUCUCUACUGAUCUAUGAUUCCUGACUUUAAAAACCAAAGCGGUUUGUUAUUCUCUCUCUCCCUCUCUCUCUCUCUCUCUCUCUCUUUCUCUGGUGGGUCGUGGGUGUGAAAUAUCAUGUGAUGCUUUUGACUACAGGAGCUUGAUGAAAUAAAGCUUUUAGGUUAAAAGCAGAUAACUUAUAGACACUGAAGUCCACGCACCUACUUCUUCUUCCUUAAGCCUGCCCUUUCAUGUUUCAAGUUCAAAUGGGAAAAGAGCAUAAGAUAUUGCGCUACUGAGAUGACUUUCAUAAAGUAGCUAGCAUAUCAACUGUUACGAGACAUGCAAUUUCAUUUUUCUUCUCUUUCGGAUUGACAUGCAAUUUUUUAAGGACAAAAAAAAGAAAAAUGGUCCAGUGUGAGGUGGGACCGUUGAUCAUCAGUAGUUCCAAUUAAAAGUUUUCGGAGGGAAAGACUGAUUGAUCGAUGAAUAUUUUUAAAAUGAUAACUAACAAGAAUGGCUAGUAGAACGUUGAACUUUUAUCUUGAAUUUUGAAUCACAUUGGAACUCCCAGUUCUUCAUACCCACAUUUUAAUUCUCGCCAAAGUCAAGCGAACUUUUAACAAGAUAUAAUAAUUGAACAAAAUAUUUUUUUCUGGAAUAUAUAGUAGGAAAGAAAUAUAUUCAAUAUCUGAGAAUUACGUACGAGUAAUUAGGAAAAAAAAAAACAUUGAUUUACGUGAUAUAACAAUUAAUUAAUUGGAUUUCUCCUAAUCCGUGCUGUCUUGAUCAUUUUAAAAAUAUUGUGUAAUAUCACUUAUAUGCAUUUUUAACAAUGUACAUACAAGAUCUAACCAAGAUCAUUACGAAAAAACUCACUGUCUUUAUUUUAUAAAUGCUUAUUAAUUUAUCUAUGUAGUUAUUAGAAGAGUGAAAAAAUAAGCCUCCUUAGAAAAAAAAUUUUGAAUAAAAAUAAGUUUAUAUUAUUUUUUAUCAAAUUUUUUCCUCCACUUAAAAAAAAAAUUAUAACAACUCUCUCUUUAAUAUGAAUGAGACAAAAAUAACACAAUAGUAAUUGAAUAAGGGAGUCAUUCUUCAAAAUUUAAGAGGGAGAAGAAUAAUCUAUUUGAAAAAUCUCGUUUAUGGAAUAUUUUAAAACAUUUAUUGCUGAUAUGGCUUCUCAAAUGAAGUGGAGAUAUUUUUACAUAUAUAUUCUUAUUAUGUAUCUAUCAAUCAUUAGCUCGUAAAAAUAUUAACACGAAGCUUAUAUCAUCACUAAUCCAAGUCCAAUAAUGAAAUGUGCAUCUCUUGGAUUGGUCUCUCAUAGUAAGGGCUCAUUUGGAAUUACAUUUUGGGUGGUUUAAAAUUAAUUUUGAAUAGUUAAAGUUAAUUUUAGUGUUUGGUAAAUUUGUUUAAAAAUCACUUUAGGUAAAAUCAUCUCAUCUUAUAAUAGAUUUUAAAAAAAAUAAGAAAGUAGCAGCUUUUCAAAAUCUAAUUUUAUAAUUAAUUUUGUAUUUAAUACAAUUCCACCUACAUCUUUUUAUGUAUUAUAAAAUUACUAAUUUUAAGAGAUUACUAUUAAUAUAACCAAUUAUACUGGGUUAACAAAAUAAAAAAUAAAAUUAAUAAUAAAAAAUAUGUAUUCUAGUUAUCAGUUAUAAUAUGUGCAUAAUAAAAAAUAUUUUAUAUACAUGUUUAUAAUGUGUAAAUAAAUUUUAUUCAAUUUUAUGUCUAAUUCAAUAAUUUAUAUUCUUACAGCAGUUUAAUAGUAAAAUUUAACAAACACAUAAAAUUGCUUUUAAAACUCACAAUACUUUAAAAAUAAAUUACUAAAUGUUUAGUUGAUUCUCUUACAGCUAAUUAUUUUUAAAGCACAUGCAACAAUAAUUAUUUUAAAAGCUACAAUACUACCAAAUUGGCCCUAAUUGUGGUAAAUAUUUUGAAUCUCCUCGGGCCAAUAUGAAGUAGGGUAAGAAAGUUAAGAAAUCCUAAUUAAAUUGAAAUUUAUAAUACUUAGAAUAUUUUAAUUAACUUGUAUUCUAGUUUAAUUUUGUUGUCUAUUUAGAGUUUUAUUGUUUAAGUAUUGCUUAUUUGAGUUGUAUUCAAUUUAGGCAUGCGUCUUAUUAAAGUAGGUUUUCUUGUCAAAUUAGGAUAAGUCAUAGCUAGUAUAAUAACAAGGACUAGGUUAUUUUGUUAUCGAUCAUUUCUUAUAAUAAACUCUAUAUUUUAGUUUAAUAAUCAUUUCAGUUUUCAAAGUGAGUUUAGUUAAUUAUCAGCAUUCUGUGAAAUAAAUGAGUCCUAACCAUCUAAGUUCCUGAUACUUUUUUUUAGAAUCAACAUGAAUUUAAUUUAUUUCUUUAUUCCAGUAUUCUCAAGAAUCAAUCGAGUAUUGAAAAUAUCUCUAUCUAUCCAUCACUCCACAUCUUAUAUCCUUCCACUGCAUUAGUUUACACUUCUACUACAUCAGUUUCACUUCAAAGUGUUCCUUGAUAGAACUGCGUUGCAUAACAAUUUUAGGAGAAAAUCUUCUUAACAUAAAUGAUAAUAUGGCAAGAAUAUAGCUCUUUUUCAAGGCAUAUUGAAACUUAUAAUUUAUGAGUUUUACUACUUACCUAUUACAAUUUUUAUAAUACCAUGUGAUCUCCUUGAUUUUUAGGUUUUUAAAGAAAAAAUUAUUGCUACCACAAAAUAACAAUUUUUUUUUAGUUAAAAGUUUUAUGUCAACAGAGUAACAACACAUUAUUAUAAGAACGUAACAACACUUUCUCUUAAUUAUAGCGUAUUGGCAACCCAAUUUCUCUCUCUACCUAAGUGAGUUUAGUUCGAACACCCAAACUCAAUAUCUUUUCAACAACAUAAAUGCAUGUAUGAUAAUAAAUUUUUAAUAUCAACUUAGGUCCUAUCUUAUAUUAAUAUGUUGUAUCUUUUAAGUUACAGUUAAUAUGAAAAAAAAGUUGUAACUAAAACUUUAGCAUUGUAACUUUUAAGAUAUAAUUGCCUAGUGGUAAAAAACAACAUUAUUAUAUGUCACAUCUUGGUUUCAAGCUUCAAUCGGUGCGUAAGUUAAUAAUAAUAAGAGGAAGAAGAAGAUGAGGAAGAAGAAGAAGAAGAUUGAAUUUCACUCACAUGGGUAGGGAGGAACUGAUUUGCUGUUAGGUUGGAUAAUUAAAAAAAAAAAGUUUUUCGUUUGAUUACUUUAAGAAUUGCAAUAAAUCAAAUGAUAGAUUAUAAUUGCGCAACCAUUAUACCAAACAAGAGCCUAAACUUAUUUUUUUUUUUUUUAGUGGAGCUUCUAACACCCUGUGAAAACUCUUUUGAAACUCUACUUGUUACAUUUAUAACUCUUCCCUCAAUCACAAUUAUAGAAAAUGACAAAAGAUACAAUAGGGUUUAAAUUAUAUUUGAAUAUCACCUAUAAUAAAUUCAUUAAAAUUCUAAAAUAUAUUUUUUCAUUAUAAAAAUCAAUCUUUAGAUAACUUUUUCCUUAUUAUUUUAAAGUGAUUUCGAGUUUAUAAAAAUUAGUUAUAUCAUAUAUUAAAUUUAAAGAUAAUAGGUUUCGUAAUUGAGUAUAAAGACAUUUUAAUUUAAUUUUUUUAAUGUAAUUUCAACUAGUUAGAACAAUGUUGAAAAAAAUUGGGUUUUAUUAGGAUUUUAAUGGAGCGCGAAAAGGUUAACCUUUUAUUUUCAUUAAUUUACGCAGCAAACAAACUUAUGGGUGAUUCUCCUUUAAAAGUUUGAGUUGUGGUAUUUCAUCCCCUGAAUUUAUCUCAUAAUUUUUCAUUUCUAAAUGAGCCCUAAAAAAAUUUUAAAAUAAUUUCUCUAUUAAUAUAUAACUGAUACAAUUCCCAAUUUACCCUUACCAAGUAAAAAAGGAGGUGAAAUAGCAGUCCCAAUUAUGGGGCACAAGGCACUGCGAUACCGUUUUUCCAGGUGGCGGUGACGAGGACGACCAACAAAGCAAGCUCUCAUGAGCAUGUUAUUCGGUUUGUUGUUGUCAAACACUACAUAAAUUAAGGUGGCUCAAAACCCGAAUCUAAAGAACAUAAACAGGAAGCGGCUGAACUCAUAAGAGGCCAAGCUCCAGUUGUGAUAUUGGUGGCACUACGAGUGCUUAGUUUCUGUCAUUUUUUUUUAAUAAAAAAAAAUUUGUCAUCUCUAUAAUUGACUGAUAAUUUUACACGAAAUAAGAAAUUGAGAUUAAUUUAACAGUAAGCGUAAAAAUUGAAGUGAACUUUACUUUUGGUUAAUCACUUAGAUAUGAGUGUGAUUCUGUGAAGUAUGAGAGAAAUAUAUAAUUAGUAAUAAGAGUAAAGUAGAGAUUAACAAAUUUAUAAUGGGUUAAUUAAGAAGUGACGACUGGUCCAGAUAUUAUCACUAUAAAACUUGUGGGUUAAUUAUCCUUGGAAGCCCAAAUCUGUAAUCCGGCUUAAUCGAAAGCCGAGUCCAAACUCAGGUUCAAGCGGGUUAGAUGCGCUCAUCACCAGCAUAACGGCCCUACAAAUUUGGGCUUUAGGCUUGGGUGGCUAUUAACCCACAAAAUUUCACCUCACUUCCCGAGAAUAAGGCUUUUCGCACCCUUUUAAUAUCCUUAUACCACAACGCUUUUGUAAUCAUGGUUCUAUUGUAACUGAAAAUUACAUAAAAGGAUAUAAUAAAUUUAGUUAAACUAAAAUGCCUUUACAAAUUACGGACCCUAACUAUGUUUUAAUCCUAAUAUUUGUUAUAAUGAAUUUUUUUCUUAAAAUCAAAAUAAAUUUAAAACAAUGAAUGAAAAAAUAAAUGAUAUACUAACAUUAAUUUUAUAAUGAAAAACUAUGUUUGCAAAAUUUAUACUGAACAAUAGUGAAAUUUAAUUAAAAUUAUAUUGUAAUUUUAUAAUCUUUUUUGUAAGUUCGUACAAGAAAGAGACAUAAAGAUACAAUAGCACAACGACGAGGAUAAAACUUUAAAGCAGGUGAUGGAUUCCAAUUUUCAUUUCCAAUAUUGAUUCGACAGGUAAUCUAGUCUUUGAUUCUUCGAUUGACUUGUUCUAUUUGGUUCUAUUAUUAAUCGAGUCUAACCCAUUUCACAUGGACUCCAAUAUUUACACUGUAAAAAUUCAUUAAAAAAAAUUUAAUUAAACUCCCCAAUCAAAUUUACAACGAUGCUGUAAAAAUUCACCAAAAUUCAAAAUUUUUGCAUGAUUAUAAUAAAUCUUGAUUAUAAACUAAACACAACUUUCAUAAAAUGACAUCAUCUUUUCAUUACCAUAUGAUGAAAUACAAAUCUUGUAAGCUUCGCCCAAAAUCGAACGUGACCCAAGUUAAAAAAAAUAAAAUAAUAAUAAGAAUAAGAAUAAGAAUAAGAAUAAGAAUUUCAUGACAAUUCUUCAUGCCGACACGUGUGAAAGCUGCCCACACGUGAUGAACACGAUUUCCGCAUCAACUUAAACCGUCAUAUUAACCACGGGGAUUUUAUCACCAGGGGAUCGGACGGUCUGUAUUUAGUUAGGAAAUAAAACUAGGGUUUCUUCUAGUAACUUCGGUAUAUAAGCGGCACGGUUACUUUUGAAACGGUGCGGUGGCAGUGGUUUCUGCCCUCCCACCGAAAAUCGAAAAAAAAAAAAAUUCAAUUUCCUCCGUCGAACUCCGUCCGGUUUCCGUUCGGAUCGCCGACGAAUUUAUCCCUAUUUUUACCCCACCUCUCCUGUCCUAUCUUCGAAAAAUUCCAAAAAAAAAAAAAAGAAGAAUUUUCAGUUUCGGGUUUUUUCCCCUAGAAUUAUAGUCAUAGAAUCAGAUUAUUUAUCCUGUUAUCUCUCUAGAUUUUUAUUUGAGAACUAGCAAGAGAAGAGGGAAAUAAAAAAGCCAAAAAAAAAAAGAAGGAUCUAGAAGUGGUAGUGAUGGCACAGAUUCAGGUGCAACAUCAAGCGCAAAUGUCGGGGCCAAACGGAGUGGCGGCGGGUGCGUCAGGGAACCAGUUCCUAACGACGUCUCUUUAUGUUGGCGAUCUCGAUUUCAACGUGACCGAUUCGCAGCUUUAUGAUCUGUUCAGCCAGGUCGGUCAAGUUCUGUCGGUUAGGGUUUGUCGGGACCUGAGCACCAGGCGCUCACUCGGCUAUGGUUACGUUAACUACGCCAACCCUGCAGAUGGUAAUAUAGAUUUUUUUCUUUUGGACAGAUUUUUAUUUGAUAUUGUUUCUACCGAAUGGAGUUGGCUGCUUGAGUUGAUUAUUAUUAUUAGUAUUUUAAUCCUUUAGUCGCUAGUAGCCAGUUUCUAACAAUUGUAACAUUUCUUGGUAAUUCCAUUUUGUGAAACCCAAUAAAAUAUAUUGUGCGUUUCUGUUUUAGGACAAUAAUCAUGUGGUAAGAUGUCUGAAAAUUUGCGUAGUUACUUUGUUGCCAAGGGAUUCAAUGAUAUCUUGUCAGGUUUAGUUUGAAUACACUUAUUCUCUCUUCUUUUGCUUGUUUCUAUGUUGGUUGGAUGAUGGUACCUAUGUGGGAUUGGUUGCACACAUUGUGUAUAACUGAAGCAAAAUUGAUCUCUUGAAUAAAAUAUUAGCAUCUCCUAUGCAGGGAGAUAUAAUUUUCUCUUCCGGACUUUUUUGUUGUUGUUGUUGGAUAUGUAAUGAAGUUAAUUAAUUAUACAUUGUAUUUUGUGCCCGAAGAGAAAUGCUAUUUGUAUAUUUGGAUAGGAGAAAGAUAUUUUUCUUUCUUUUUUGCCAUUUUGUAACUUAUGCUUAUGUUGUCUUCAGCGGCAAGGGCACUGGAUGUUCUUAACUUCACUCCACUUAAUAAUAAGUCCAUUAGAAUCAUGUAUUCCCAUCGGGAUCCUAGUAUUCGGAAAAGCGGUACUGGGAACAUAUUUAUCAAGGUAUUCUUUUUAAAUAAUGUAUAUCCGUAUGUGUUUUAUUUCUGUUAUAUACUCCUGGUUCCUUGUUUACAUUUAGUCCUUUUUUUUAAUAAUUAUGAUUGCAGAAUUUGGACAAGUCUAUUGAUCACAAAGCAUUACACGAUACAUUUUCUUCAUUCGGAAACAUUCUUUCUUGUAAGAUAGCUACUGAUGGUUCUGGCCAGUCCAAAGGUUUCGGUUUUGUGCAAUUUGAGAACAAAGAAUCUGCUCAAAAUGCUAUUGAUAAGUUAAAUGGCAUGCUUAUUAAUGAUAAACAAGUGUUUGUUGGGCACUUUCUUCGUAAGCAGGAAAGAGAAACUGUAGCAAUUAAAACAAAAUUCAAUAACGUAUUUGUCAAAAACCUUGCUGAGUCAACUACAGAUGAAGAUUUGAAGAAAUUUUUUGGUGAGUAUGGAACAAUUACCAGUGCAGUAGUGAUGAGGGAUGGAGAUGGAAAAUCCAAGUGUUUUGGAUUUGUGAAUUUUGAAAAUGCAGAUGAUGCUGCCAAAGCUGUUGAAGCUCUUAAUGGAAAGAAAUUUGAUGACAGAGAAUGGUAUGUUGGAAAAGCUCAGAAAAAAUCUGAAAGAGAACAAGAGCUAAAAGGGCAAUUUGAGCAAGCCAUGAAGGAAACUGUAGACAAAUUCCAGGGUUUGAAUUUGUAUAUCAAGAAUUUGGGUGAUAGUAUUGAUGAUGAAAAAUUAAAGGAGUUAUUUUCUGAAUUUGGCACAAUUACUUCAUGCAAGGUUUGUGAUUUUUUCCCUUUUAAUUAUCCAAUUCCGUAUUUCUCAUUUGGUUGCUUUAUACCAAGUGCUUUUCCUUUUCCAUCUUUUUGCAGGUUAUGCGUGAUCCUAGUGGAAUUAGUAAGGGCUCUGGAUUUGUGGCGUUUUCAACUCCUGAGGAAGCAUCUCGAGCUGUAAGUAAGGCUGAUGUAUGAGCUGUUCUAACUUUCUUCAGGGAAAUCUUGUCAACAUUUGUUCUUCAUUCACAGCUUGCAGAGAUGAAUGGUAAAAUGAUUGUUAGCAAGCCUCUUUAUGUUGCUGUUGCUCAGCGGAAAGAAGAGAGGAGGGCCAGGCUGCAGGUAUCUUUAUUUUAGACCAACUGUUAUUAUUUUGUGCAAAGUGAUACUGCCUUAUUUGUAUGGAAAACUGGUAAUGCUCGUUUUGAUUUACAUGAACUGUCUAUUGUUUUUAUUUUUGCAAAUGUAUAUUUUAUUUAUGCAGGCUCAGUUUUCACAAAUGAGACCAGUAGCUAUGGGUCCCUCGGUUCCUCCUCGUAUGCCAAUGUACCCACCUGGCCCUUCAGGCCUAGGGCAACAGUUUCUGUAUGGCCAAGCACCACCAGCAAUAAUUCCUCCUCAAGUAAUUUUCUGUCUGAAGACCCUUGUAGUUCAAUUUGCACUGUUGUAAAUGGAGUCUACUUUGUUUAAUGUUAUGGUCUGUGGUCAAGGUUUCUUACUCAGUUUUUUUCCCUUUUUUCUUUAAAGGCUGGAUUUGGUUACCAGCAGCAACUUGUUCCUGGAAUGAGGCCUGCUGGGGCACCGAUGCCGAACUUCUUUGUUCCAGUGGUCUCGCAAGGUCAGCAGGGCCAGCGUCCUGGUGGACGACGUGGUGCUGGACCUGUGCAACAGACCCAGCAGCCACUCCCCAUUAUGCCGCACCAGGUCUGUCUCAUUUGAAAGCUAUUAUUGUUGCUUUCGAUGGGUAACCCCCCCCCCCCAAAAAAAAAAAUCAAUGUUGACGUCAUUUAUUCGUUGCAGAUGCCUCCCAGGGGUCAUGCCUAUCGGUACCCACUUGGCCGUAAUAUGCAAGAUUUCCCCUUUGACAUGGGUGCUGGCAGUAUGCUCCCUGUUCCCGUUGACAUGGGUGCUGGCAUACCUCGGCGAGAUGCGUCUGUUGGACAACCUAUGCCGAUAACGGCUUUGUCUACUGCUCUUGCAAAUGCAUCACCAGAACAGCAAAGGACGGUAAGAUUGUGUUUUGUUUGUUUGAUGUGCUUGCCUAUUUUUUCUUUUUUUCAUUCCCUAAUAUAUUUUUUAAUUUGUGGACAGCUGCUGGGUGAAAGUUUAUAUCCUCUAGUGGAGCAGCUGGAGCGAGAUGCAGCGGCUAAGGUAACGGGAAUGCUCUUGGAGAUGGACCAGACAGAGGUUUUGCAUCUUCUUGAGUCACCAGAGGCUUUGAAGGCGAAAGUAGCUGAGGCAAUGGAGGUUUUGAGGAGUGUUGCUCAGCAGCAGGCUAAUAAUCCAGCAGAUCAACUGGCUUCAUUGUCCCUGAAUGAAAACCUUGUUUCUUGAGCGCGUUGCUGUCAUUGAAGAAGUUUGGAUUAGUUGUGGUUUCAAACAAUUAAAGUCUUUGUUUUUGGCAUGGAUGGUGUAGGUGUUUGUGUAGUUUGAUCCUGGAUAUGCUGUCAAUUUGUUUUGUAGGAUUCUUCUAGGCCACAUGAUUUGUUUGCUUGACUGUUCCAAUUUUUAAGCGUGGUUGCUGUUUUCAAUUUCUGUGACUAAUUAUUUGGAAUUUGAUCUGGCUGCUGCUUCAUGUUUUUUAGAUCUUGCUGUUGCUGAAUUUUUUCUUUAUCCGAUGAUAAUUUAGUGGAAAAGGAGCUCUCCAUUUUUUUAUUAAAAUAAUACAAAUUCAUAUUUAUUUAGAGAUUUAUUUUGAAAAUGCUUUUAACCUUAUCACAUAAAUAAGUAAACACUUUUUAAAAUUUGUAAAAUUAGGUAGGGCUUUUGAGAUGUUCUUAAUAUCCAUAUUAUUUUUCCUAAAUAGUACAUCAGAUAUGCUUAUUAGUUAAGACUCUUUGUAGUUGCAAAUGUGAGGAACAAUGUCCUUUGCACCAAUCUUAAUGGAGGAAGAUAUGUAGUUUAAUGUUAUGAACAGAUUAUUUGUUUAAAUUUAUCGAAGUUUAUCCGGUCUAUUAUAAAUAAGGCAAAUGCUAUGUUACAAUUAAUGUAACAUACACACUCAACAAUAACCACACAAAUUAUGUGGGCUCAUCAUUUGUGUGGUUGUUAUUGAGUGUGUAUGUUACAUUAAUUGUAACAUAGGGGCUCCCUAUAAAUAAUUAUGAUCUUAAAUACAGACACUCUUUGCGAUUCCAAAUUCGUUAGAAAAAUAGAGCCAUCAAAUCAUUAGUUGAGUUGGUGAAUUAGUAAUUAUUAUAAUGAAGUACAAAAUAUGAAAGGAUCCGUGACAAUACAUGAGAAACAAUGUAAAGGAAAUAAUCAUAGCCGAGAAAAUAAUUAAUUACCUUAAUUUGUUUACAUAAUUGUAUUCAUUAUGCAUAAAUUUUCAUUCUUUGUAUAUUUUAUGUAACAGUUAUUUACUUGUCUAUGUGAGUUCUAUCUCACAGCUCGCUUGGGAUUACUUUUAUGAGAUUCAAAAGUGAUUUUGAAAAAUUAAAAGCUGAUUUUGGUGUGUAGUAAGUUUUUUUAGAAAUCGCUUUUGGUAAAAUCAUCUUAUCUUACAGUUGAUUUUGAAAAAUAUGAGAUAAGUAGUUUUUUAGGAUCUAAUUUUGAGAAUAAUUUUUACACUUAAUCCAAUUUCAUAUGUAUCCUCAUAUAUAUUAUAAAAAAUUAAAUUAUCCUUAUAAUUAGAAAACAAAAUCAUGAACUUUAAAAAGAUUACUAUUAUUACCAAUUAUAUUGAGAUAACAAAAUAUAAAAUUAAUAAUAUAAAAUAUUUAUUUUAGUUAUCUAUUAUUAUAUAUACAUGAUGAAGGUGUUUUAUGUACAUGUUUAUAAAUAUUUAAAUAAAUUUUAUUCAGUAUUAUGUACAAUUCAAUUAUUUACGUAUAUUAGUUUAACAAUAAUAUUUACUAAAUACAGAUAAUUACUUUUAACACACAUACAAUUAGUAUCGUAGAGAGUGUAGCGUUGACGCAACCAUUGUUGGGAACAAAACUAUAACAAGUCAGCGUUUUUUAAUUUAAUUUUAUAAAAUAUUAAUUUAAAGAAAUUUGUUGUAGGGGUAUUUUCGAAAAUGAAUAGUUUUGUCUAGGGUACUUUUGGUAUUUUAUUUUAAUUUUAUAUUCUAUAAAAUAUGAUAAUUAAAUAAUCAUUUUUAAAAUAGGUUUGACCUAACUCAAAUCAAAUAAAUUUUCAACCCAUCUAAACCAAUCUAAACUAAACUAUUUAAUUUAGUUUGAGUUGGGGUUGAAUUAUAAGAUGUGGGUUUUUUGCCCACCUCUACUUAUAUAUGAGAAAAUGAAACAUUUGCAGAACAAACAGUUUCAUAAUUCAAACUCAAUGCCGUGAUUUCUUUUCCCAAAACUGAGUGGGGAUCAUACGUUACCAUUUUUUUUAAUUUAAUAAUAUAAUAUUAUUAUUUUUCCAAACUUCCUGUGCAGGUACUAUACAUAUUUUUAAUUCUUUUUCCAAAAGAAGCCAGCACGUUUUCAUAUUUAUUAAAAAGUAAUCACCCUCAGAUUAUAAAAUAAAUAAAAGAAAAUGCCAAAUACACCCUUACUUUUCCUUCUAAGAGAUCAUAGUACUGAUAAAAGUUUCGUUCCUAGGCCGAAGUUUGUGUUGUAAAAAUGGUCAUGCAAUAUUUCUUGUGGGGUACCAAUCUUAGUUUUUAUUUAGGUUGGAUAGUUGUAACUUAAAAAUUAUAAUAUUAAAAUGUUUAAUAAAUAUCAAUUGAUGUAGUUAAAAGUUAAGUUCAUUAGAUUUUACAUUUAUAUGAUAAAAAAUUUAUUAUAUCUCUAUUAAUUUUAUUAAAAUGAUUAUUUAAAAAAUUAUAUUUAUUAUAUAUUGUUAACUUUUAGUUUAUAACUAU
rnacentral:lncRNA from 1 species